UUACAUUUGCUCCAUUCACUCCGACGCCUGGGGCAUUACUUCCUGGUACGGAGCAAGACAAACUCCCCAAUAUAGUUAAAUUAAUAUUCGUUGGUAUAAUCGGUGGUACUUGACCACCAACAGGUGGUACAAUCGGUGGUAUACUAAUGGGUGGUACAAUCGGUGGUAUAUUAAUGGGUGGUACAAUGGGUUGGCCAAGAAUAGGACCAACAAUUGGACUGAGAAUAGAACCAACAAUCGGUAAUUGGCCAAGACCAACAGGUGGCACUUGACCAACGGGUGGUACAAUACGUGGUGGUGCAGGUUGACCCAAUAGGGGAUGCAAUAGAGUACCCACAAAGGGAAUGGGACCCAAAAUGGGACGAACAAUGGGACCAAGGUUAAUAGGCAAUUGAGCAUGGGCUAGAGGACUGGUGGUGAUGAUGGAAAGUAGAAUAACAAGGGAAACAACACACAUUUUUGAAGACAUGAUGAUUUGAUAAUUUUUAUUCUGUUCAAUAUACCCUUUAUAUAGUGCUCCUUUUUAUUUACUCCACCCCUACCUUAACUUACCCCACCCCCCAACCUAUAUAAAUGAUUAAAUAUAUUAUCUUUCAUCCCUAAAUAAGACUUACAAAUAUCUCACAUAUAUCAUCAUUAGUUAGGUUGAAACUCAUCAACUUGAACAACAUUGGGACCAUACAAAUUAAUUAAUUCAAUAUCAUUUGACUUGUCAUAAGAAGAAAUUUUUUUUGUAAGCUGAGGCCAAAAGGCCUUUGGUUUGCCCAUAGGACUCCCUUUUUCUUUUCUUCUACCAUUAUUUUUAAAGUAAUUAAAAGUUGAAGAUUUAAAACAAAUACCAUAAAUUUAUAUUUUUUUAAUUAUUAAAGUAAUUUACACAAUUUAUUUAUUUUUAUUUAUUUUAAAUAUAACCUUUUAAAAUUGGUGUUAAAUCUUUAUAUUUUGGUAAAAAAUUAGGUGUUCACAGUGUGAUUGUUAAUCACUUCAUUAAAAAUUAAAAAAGUUUAAGUAGAAUUUAGAUAAAAAAAAAAUAAGUAAUGUCUACUAAUUAUCUUGAAAUCUAAUGGGUUUAUCACAUUGUUCGAAAUGUAUUAAAAUAUCUAACAUAUAAUUUUAAAAUUGAAGAGAGUUAAAAUUAUAGUAGAAUAAAAGAGAGAUGAAAUUGUGGUAAAAACUGACAUUGAAAGUGAUAAGUUAAUGAAGAUGACAAUGAAUUUUUGAAGAAGAAGGAAGAAAGAAAAAGAAAAAAAUAAUAAGGAGAAAAAGUUAAAAUAAUACGAAAAAUUAAAAAAUAUAUAUAUUUUAUAGUAAAAUUCUUGUAAAAAUAAAAUUAUAUUCGUUUUUUUAGUUUGUUCACGCUCUUUAAGAGAGCGCAUACACUUUCCGUGUCAGGUAAACAAAAAAUGAUGUAAUAAUAUCAAUUCAAAAAUAUUUAGGGAGGGUAAUAGGAUACUUGCUUAGUUUAGAUAUUUUUAUAAAAAUUCGAGACAACUUCAAGUAACAUUUUAUGUCUUUUCUCUAUAUGCUAAAAACCUUUUAAGUAGUAGUGUAUGGAUCACCAAUAUACCACUGACUUUAUAUAUAUAAUAUAAUAUGAAGUAUUUUGUAGAAGAGCCAUGAGUUUCACAAAUAUGUCCAGAAGUAGCAUAACAAAAAUAAGUAGAAUUAGUUAGAUUCGAAUGCACGAUUACUUCUUCAUUUCAAGAAGGUGAAAUCAUUAGGUUAUAAUUAUAAUUUUUUUAAUGUUAAGGAUGUUCAAAAUAUGCUAUUUAAUCAUUUCGUAUGUAUUUUACUUGUUUAUAUGAUAGUUAUUUCUGACGAAAAUCGGACACCCUUAUCACCACGUGACUACGCCACCGGAUGUAUCAAGCUUUAAACACACAGAAAAAUGAGAACUAUAUUUUCUGGUUUUCUGGUAAGAAAAAAAAUAUAUUUAUGUUAAUAUAAUGGCACGAUAGAUGGGCAAGCAGGAGGUCAAUGUAUAUGUUUAAUUUACAUGAUACAGAUGAAUUAGGAGAGCAAUUAAAAUUUAUAUGAUUUAAAAAUAUUAUAAGUUGUUUAUUAUUGUGAAUUAUAGUAUUUUUAAUUUAUGUGACACAUAUAAAAUUUUAAGAGUCAACAAAUUCUUUAAUAAGUUUUAAAAUAUAUUUCAAAUGGUUAAUUAUUAUAAUUUUUAAUAUUUUUUACGCCCUAAACCUACAUCCUAAAUGUAUCGGUACUCAAAAAUCAUCUUUGAUCCCAAAUGAACCUUUAAUCAUAAGCGAAAGACUUACUCUAACAACAGAAAUCUCAAAACAAGAUCAACUCAUAAGAAUAAGUGCUCAACUCUCAAUCUUCAAAACAUCAAGGACUGAGAAAAAGAAGUAAAAUAUUUUUUGGAAGAAUGAAAGGGUGGUUUAUGGGGAGGGGGUUGGAUAAUAAUUUAAUUUUUAUUUAUACGGUGAAUAUUUUAUCUAUGUGAAAUGUCAAAGUGUUAAGAUUUUUCAAAAUAAAAAAUAGAGUACAUUAUACACACCACCAAGGUGUUUUCUCAAACUAAUAAAUACUAGUUUAGCUACAAAACUAAAUAAAAAGAUAGUUUAAAUGUGUUUUUAAUGGGGGUGUGCAAAAAUCGAACCGACCGAUAAAUUGAACCAAAAAUAUGUUAUUGGGUUAUUGAGGUUUUAAUGGGUUUAUAAAAAAAAAUUAAUGGGUUAUUGGUUCGUUAUCAGUUUUUACUAUUGGGUUAUUGGGUAAAUUAAUAACCCAAUAAGACGGUAAUAAUUCACUAUUUUACUCUUCCUAAUUAUUAAAUAUUAAUAAUUUAAUAUAACUAAACACUAUAACUAUAUCAAAUUAUUAGUACUCUCUCCCCUUCACACUAGGCCGCUUUACUAGUUUUUAUUGUUUACUAAAAACCUAAAGACUAUAGUAAGGGUUCACUAUUGUAGCUAUUUGAUUUUAAUUUUAGUUUAGUAUUAUUGGACUAUUUGAUAUUAAUUUUAGUUUGUAAUUGUAGGUUGUAGCAUUUGCAAGUUUGUGAAGGUCCGUAAUUUGAUUAACAUAAAAAAUCUCGUACUAUAUUUUGGCGGUGACAUGUAAUUAUAGCCUUUGUACUAUAUUUAGAAAAGUGAGAAGUCAUAUAAUAUUUUACGAACAUUUUUGUUACUGGGUAAAUCGAAAAUCAAACGUAUAACUACCAAAAAACGAUAAAGAAUAUCUUAUUGAUUGGUUAUCGGGUUAGUGUUGACACCCAAUUUUGGACCUCCACCAUAUAAAUAAUCAAUUCGAGCUUCUUCGAUUUUAGACGAUUUAAAAUAAUUAGUUUAUAAAAUUGUAAGAAAAUUUCAAAGUUUGCACCUUAUUUUAAAUAGUUUUGUCGCUUUAUAUAUAUAUAUAUAUAUAUAUAUAUAUAUAUAUAUAUAUAUAUAUAUAUAUAUAUAUAUAUAUAUAUUACACAACUAUGUAUACAAUUAAUAUAUUUUUAUGAUUACUCAAAAAUCAUCUCAAAAAGAUUUUACUUUGUUUAAAUAUUUUACUAAUUAGUUUAGUUAUAUAAUAGUUUACAUUCUUGAAUUAGUUAUUCUAUAAUUAAGUCGAUUAAUUUAUUUAAUUAAAAUUAAGAAGCUCGUUAAUUAAUUAUACUAAUUCAUCGAGUUUAAUGUCAAUCAUUUCACCAUUCAAUUUCUAAUUGGUUUAAGUAUACAAUAUUUGGUUGCCAAAAGACCAAAUUUGGGCCUCCAUUUUGAAUUGAGCAACUUUCACAUAUAGCAAAUAAAAAAUUCAUAUUUGUAUGCUAUAGCAAAGUUUGCAUAAUUGCGUUCCAUAGCAAACAUAGAAACUGUAUAAUUCGCUAUAUAUAUACAGUUGAAGCAAAUUGUAUAAAUUGAAGUGUAUAAAACAAGAAAGAGAAAGACACUUGGAUAGAGAACUGUAUAAAAAUGAAGUGUAUAAAACGAAUUGUAUUAUUAUAAGUGUAUAGAACCAUUUUAUAAAAUUUGAAUUUGUAUAAAAUGAGAAAGAGAGAAAGACAAAAGAGACUUGACAAGGAAUAUACAAUUGAAUCGAAUUGUAUAAACGAGAAAGAGAGAAAGGCAAAAGAAACUGUGCAGGGUAGUAUUUUUAUUGUAUAAUUACAAGUGUAUAGGAUGAAAAUAUAUGUAUUUGCAUGUGUAUAUACAAUUUUCUCACGCUUUAUACAAACAGAAACACAAUUUAUGCAUUUUGCUUCUCUUUGUAUAAGUGAUAAAGGCGAGGGUGGCGAGCGAGAUCUGGAAGAGGGAAGAGAGGGGAACAAAAAUAUAUGUAUUUAUGCAAUUUUCUCUACUUUAUACAAUUAGAAACAAUUUUUAUACACUUGUGUUUGUAUAAAAAAUGAGGAAGCGAGUGAGAUACCGGAGGAGAGUGGCGAGCUUGAUAUUUGGGAGAGAGGCGCCGGGAAUUUUUUUACAAACGUUUGGUAUGGAGCACAAUUAAAUCAAACUCUAGCUACUAUAUUUAUUUUAGGUUAUUAGUUUGCUAUUAUAUACAAUUUUCCCUUUUAAAGAGCAUUUCAGCCCAAUCUUAAAUUACAUCAACCAAACCAGCCACUCCAACUUCCUUUUUAAAUAGUAUAAAUUUAAGGAAUUCCAUAGUGUAAUACAAUUAUUACAUUCUGUCCCGACAAAUUUAGUAUUUACUAAUAAUCCCUUAAAAUUGUUGUGGCGUGAUACAUUAGUAUGUUGUGAUAUAUGGUAAAUAAUAUAUAGUAAUUUAAAAUUGUUAAGAUUAAAAGGGGGUAAAAUGGAACAUUUAAAUUUGUUAUCUAAAUCAGCUUAAAUUACGGUAACAGUUCAUUAAUAAGCAUUAAUUCAACACGUAAUUGGAUAACAAUUUCAAAUUUUGAAAAUUCAAGAUUAUAUCAUCUAGUUUGAAGACAUUUUUAUGAACAUCCAGUUAUUAAACUUAUUGACUGAUACAUGAUAACAAUUUUCAAAAACUUUUGAUACAUAGGAAAUCAUAUGAUACACAUCAAAUUCAUGUAUCAAUGCAUCGUCUAAACACUAUAACACACUGAGUCGAUAUGUAUCAGCAAGCACACUUGAUGGCGCAGUUAUUAAGCUUAUUGACUGAUACAUGAUAACAAUUUUCAAAAACUCUUGAUACAUAGGAAAUCAUAUGAUACACAUCUAAUUCAUGUAUCAAUGCAUCGACUAACACACUAUAACACACCGAGUACUUAUGUAUUAAACUUAUUGUCUGAUAUAUGAUAACAAUUUUCAAAAAUUCAUGAUACAUAUGAGAUUCCUUUACUAAAAUUUUUACUAAUUUCAACAACAAUGGUUGCUGCUUCUUUUCUCUUUUUUGGGUGUAUUUUGUCAACCUUUGCUUUAGAUGAUUCGCCAAAAUCUUUGUUUGAAUCCUUCCGAACAUUCAUAGGAUCAUGCAAAGAUUUUUUUUUAUUUUCUUUCCAAUUUUCAUCGUCCGAAUCAUAAAUCCUUCUAUUAGUAAAAGGAUUCAUUAAUAUGAUGUAAUAGAACAAUGAACAGAAAUAAAAUAAAAAAAAGAACGGAUGAUGGAGUAAGAAGAAAAAGAAGACCUAGAGACGGCUGAUGUAAUAUAGAAAUGAACAAGAACAAAAAAAAGAACAGAUGAUGGAUUAAGAAGAAGAAAACUAUAGACGGAUGAUGGAGUAAGAAGAAGAAGAAGAACCAUAGAACAAUGGUCCAAUUUUCAGAAAUUUCAAAUUUUUUGAAUUUUGAAAUUCAAAAUUUCAUAUUAAAUGUUGUGAAAUGUUUUUAAUUAAAAUUAAUAAUUCAAAAUUCAGAAAGUGAUUCAUGAAUGUUUUAGUGGAGAAAAAAUAGGCAUGAUAUUGGGGAAGUGUGUGUUAUAGGAGAGAGAAGGCUAUGUAUCUCUAAACUUCUACUAAAAAAAGAAAAUUAUGUAAUAUUUAUAAAAAGAAGGGAAAAUUAGAGAAUACUAAACUUAUAGUUGUGUAUUUAAGUUAUUUUUCCUUUUAAAUAUACCGGCCCAACUUUAUUAUUCCCAAAUGGAAAAAUUACAUAAAUUAAUAUAUUUUAAAAAAUAAUUACUGAUUUUAGUGAUACUUUUUGUUUAUUACCAUUUAUAGCAAUGCUUUGUUAAAUCUAUAAUAUGUAUUAAAAGUGAAUUAUGUAUGCAAUAUAUAUGAAUUAUAAUUGUUUUUUGAAAUAAAUCAUGUUUGUUUGAUAAAAAAUUAUCACAUUGUAUUUUAAGUGUAUUAAAGUGUGUGAUAAAUUUAUUAUUCAUCAUUAAAAUUUGUAUUAUAUGUGAAUAAUAAAUUGUUCUUUGUAAUAUGUAUUAAACUUGUAUUAUAAAUGAAUUAAAAGUGAUCAAGUGAGGUAAAAAUAUUAUUGCUAUAAAUGAUAAAUAUUUUUUAUUAUAGUAUAUUUAUAUAAGUUUCCCUUCCCAGAUUUACCCCAACCCGGCCCAAUUCUAUCUUUAACAAGAGAACCCAGUAGUGUUCCAAACCGUAAGCCGACAAAAGUUCCAAGCACCAAAGUUUACGGACGGAAAACCAUUACACAACGCCUUCACGCCUAACUUCAAUGGUAAAAGCAGCGCGUGGAGGGCACCAAGAACAAAUAGUUAUUUAGUUUGUGGUUCGAUAUUGUAAUACUUCUGUUCAACUGAUUUGAGAUUUAUUUCUUGAUGGUCGCAAGUCAUUAGAAUUUUGAAAUGUUUUUGAUUUGGUGUCGGCUGGAAAUCAGUGGUGCAACUUGAAAUAUUGUUGUCUCAUUUGUAUGAAGUUUUAGGUCUUCCUGCCUAUAUUGCUGAUGCUCCUGAUUUUGACAUAUUGAAAUCGCUAUAUUUGUGUUUUGUAGUGUUGUUGUUGUUGUUGUUGUUUCAUUAAGUCGCCAGAGAUAUCACACCCUUUUUCUGCGCGUGGCGUAAGACGGUAAGGGUUUUUCCAAUUUAAGUGACGUUAUUGAUUAGGGAAUUAUUUUAUUUUUCAGCGUCGCCACUUGGAUUUAAGUUAUGGCAAGUCAACUUUUCUUUUAAUCCCUAACCAAAAGGAAAUAACUCUUUAUUUUGGUCCGUGGACCAGAAAUUUAGGUAAGGAAUCCUGUUGAAUGAGGAGAAGGUAUUAGGCAUCCUUCGAGUCCCGUGGUUCUAGCACGAUCACUUUUAUUGACUUAUAUUUAUUUUAAAAUAUUUUUGGAUAUAUUAUUUUUAGGUAUUGACUUGUUUGCAUUUUUAUUCUUGAACUUUUAUUUAGUCUCAAAUCAGAUGCAUAACUGCAUUCUCGACUUUGACAUUUGGAGACAUAAUUGUCUUCAUCUCUCAAGUUCCUCCCACCUAAUAAUUGUCUAUAAGUGUCACUCUAAAUAUUUAUAUUUAUAAACAAGGUGCGUCACCGCAUCCUUGAAUUUUUAAUGUCUCAAAAAGAUGCGUAACCACAUUCUUGAUUGAAAUAAAUAUUUAUUAAUAUGUCGAAAAAUAAUUUAUUUUAUUUUAUUUAUUUAUUUAUUUAUUUAUUGGUCUAGAUAUACCUACUUUAUCAUUAUUAUUUAAAUCAAGAAAAGCUGUAGCUAUAGUGAAAUCAACGUAGUACAAAAUUGAAAAUUGGAUUUCAUUAAGUAAAAAGAUAGAAGGGUUUAACAACAACACAAACUAAUUAAAUUUUAGCUUACAACCUUGAAAUAAUAAUAAUAAUAAUAAUAAUAAUAAUAAUAAUAAAACAAUACUACGACAAGAAUCAUCAACCACAUACAUAAUAAGAGAGAAUAGACAAACAAAAAUUUCAAUACAACCCUGAAAUAACUAUAGAUAAUAGAAAUUUGGAUAUUCAUUAAACUAUAUAUAGUGAAUAUCCUGAUACUAUAUUGCCUAAUUCUCGUUUCUAGGUACAUCAUCUAUAACAAACACGCCUAUUGAAACCCUUCAUGGAGGCGUAUAUUGGUGCUCAAUCCUUUUAUAACGAGGCGUAUAUAAGUGCUCAAUCCUUUGGUUUUGUGAUCCGCCAUGAGAUAUAGAGCAAGUCUUUUUCUAUUAAACUUAUUUCUUUUAUUGUAUUUUUUUGGGGGCCGGGGGGUGGGGGGGGGGGGAGGUGGACUUGAUAUACUCCUUAACUUUGUGAUUUAGAGUUGAUAUAUCCUCGUUAAAAAAGUGGGUUACAUGUACUCAUAUUAUUAUAUAAAUAAUGUCUUCAAAUAUACCAUUUUGUUCUAACGGGAGUGAAAACAAAUAGUUUUUUAAAUGCAUUUUUUUAUUUAUUUUUAAGAAGUAAAAUUUGAAUAUAUAAUCUUAGAACUUUUCUAGAAAAUAUACUCGUAUAUUGAUAUUUUAGUGUGUUUUUAAAAAAAAAAUUAAAACAAUAUUUCACUUCCAUUAGAUGAAAAGGUUAUAUGUGAACCACUUUUAUAAUGGUAAGACUAUAUAUGAACCACUUUGAAUUUAAAUGUGCAUUAUUUUAUAAUGAGCGACAUAUAAAUUCUAAUAAAUUAUAAAGUAGAAGAGUAUAUCAAGACCUUUUAUGGACUUUGGUAUUUAGAGAUUUUGUUAAUUAAAGUAGAGGAGUCGUAUAUAUAGGUGAAUAUUGAUAUGCUGCAACAUGUGUUAUUUAUUUUAAUGUGUGUAUUAUUGAGUAGUUAAACGUGUUGGGAGCCGUGCGUGCAUAUAUGCAUUUCAUGACAUAUAUAAUAAUAAUAGAGUGAAAAGAAGAAGAAGGCAGAAAUGAAUUGAAAAUAAAGGAAGUAGUUAAAAUAUUAUCCAAUCUCACCAUUUAUUUAUUAUAAAAUAUUAGAUACGAUACAUAAUUAAUUAAGAGAUGGAUGAGGUUAUAUAUAUAUAUAUACACACUCACUUCAUUUAUUUAGGUGUGUGUGAGUAUAUCAAGACUUUUUACGGACUUACAUAUUUAGAUAUUUUAGAGAUUCUGUUAAUUAAAGUAGAAGAGUAGGUGAAUAUUGGUAUGUUGAAAACAUGUGUUAUUUAUACUCAUGAAUAGAAUAAUUAAGUAGUAUAUAAUUGUUGUUGUUCAUCUUGUAUUCCAAACAUACUUAGAACAAAACUUUGAACAUCUUUGUAAGAAAACAAAGUUUAAGAACAUUUUCACAACUAGAAAAUUAAAACUAGUAGCGAAACUAGAAUCAGAAACAGAUUUUUUUAAAAAAAUAUACGAAAUAUUUUUCUUAAAGAGGAAUUGUUGUUAAUAUGUGUCUAAAUAAUCUUACUGAUUCCAACAAACUUUGCAGAAACACGAAGUUACCAAGUUUAAUGAACCAGUGAAGAACAGAAGAAUAGAAGAACUGAAAUUAAUUGACAAAUCUAAAAUUUGUAAAAGACGUACCAGAAUCUGAAAAUUUUUAAUAGGAAAAAGAUCAAGUCCACUGAAUUCACAGUGUCCCCUUAAGGAAAUUAUUAGUUAAACGUGUUGGGAGCCGUGCAUGCAUAUAUAUAUACAUUUCAUGACAUAUAUAAUAAUAAUAAUAAUAUUAUUAUUCAAUCUCACCAUUUAUUUAAUAUAAUAUUACAUGAUAAUUAAGAGGGCACUUCAUUUAUUUAGGUGUGUGUGAGUGAUGAUGGAGUAGUCCUAGGUAAUAGUGACGGUUGCUAGAGAUGUAAGUAUCCCAAAAAUUGCUGCCAAAGUUUGACCAACCACAUUCUCAAGUAAGUUUCCAAUAAGGAUAACAGGAGCUACAAGGGUUCCUGUGGUUGGAGUCAAAGUGCAAUUAGCAAUUGGGAGAGGAAUCCUUGCAAUACAUGUUCCUGACAAAAGACUUGUAUUGGUGGACACUGCAGCAUUAAUAAUGCCUUGACUAUUUGUGGACACUUGAGCAAUCGUUGUGUUGCCACAAAUAAUCGUUACAUUUGCUCCACUCACUCCGACGCCUGGGGCAUUACUUCCCGGUACGGAGCAAGACAAACUCCCCAAUAUACUUAAAUUAACAACACGAUCAACAACAGGUGGUACAAUCGGUGGUACUUGACCACCAACAGGUGGUACAAUCGGUGGUACUUGACCAACAACAGGUGGUACAAUCGGUUGGCCAAGAAUAGGACUAAGAAUGGGACCGACAAUUGGACUGAGAAUAGAACCAACAAUCGGUAAUUGGCCAAGACCAACAGGUGGUACUUGACCAACGGGUGGUACAAUACGUGGUGCAGGUUGCCCCAAAAUGGGACCCAAAAUGGGACGAACAAUGAGACCCAAACCUUGAGCAUGAGCUAGAGGACUGAUGGUGAUGAUGGAAAGUAGAACAACAAGGGAAACAACACACAUUUUUGAAGACAUGAUGAUUUGAUAAUAUUUUUUUCUGUUCAAUAUCCCCUUUUUAUAGUGCUCCUUUUUAUUUACUCCACCCCUACCUUAACUUACCCAACCCCCUAAUUUAUAUAAAUGAUUAAAUAUAUUAUCUUUCAUCCCUAAAUAGCAUUAUUAAAGACUUACAAUAUCUCCCUAUAUCAUCAUUAGUUAGGCUGAAACUCAUCAACUUGAACAACAUUGGGACCAUACAAAUUAAUUAAUUCAAUAUCAUUUUGACUUGUCAUAAGAAGAAAUUUUUUUGUAAGCUGAGGCCAAAAGUAGGGUGGGCAUUCGGUAUUUCGAUUCGGUUUCAGUUUUUUUUCCGAUUUUUUGAUUAUUGUAAAUUGUGUACCGAAUACCGAAUCAAAAUAUUUUGGUUCAGUUUGGUUUUUGUUAAUUCGAUUCGGUUUUUUAUUUCGGUUUUUUAUGUUGAUGGCGCGGCUGCUAGCUGCUGACUGGUUGAAUGUUGAUGGUGCCUGGCAGACGGCGUGGCGGCGCUGCUGCUAGUUGCUUGACAGCGCGGCGGCGCUGCUGCUGUCUGCUUGACGGUGCGGCGGCGCUACUGCUUCUUUUGGCGGCCGGCCGGCGCAGCUGCUACUUCUCGCGGCUGCUGCUGCUUCUUCUGGCGGAUGGCCGGCGCUGCUGCUUCUUCUGGCGGACGGCCGGCGCUUAUGCUGAAUCUGGCUGGAGGAGAAGAAGAAGAAGAAGAGGAAGAAGAGGAGAGGAAGAGGAAAGACCAAGAGGAAAACAAAUCAGUAGAAAGAUGAAAGAGAGAGGAAUAGGGCCCGUAGGGUUUCUUUUUAAAAAAAUUAUUUAAUAUUAAUAAUUAUUAAUUAAUAUAAUAUAAAUUAUAGUAUAUUAUUUCGGUUUAAAUCGAAAUAUCAAAAACUAAAAUAAUACAUACCGAAAAUCGAACCGAAAUACCAAAAAAUAUAAAAAAGUAAAUCGAAAACCGAACUGAAAACCGAAAUAUCGAAACCGAAAUUUUGAAAAAUUUCAAUUUCGUUUGGUGUUUCGGUUUUCCGAUGUUUGCUCACACCUAGCCAAAAGGCCUUUAAUUUGCUCAUAGGAACUAUUUUGAUGGAAUAAAUAACUCCACUUGGUUUGGGUGUCAAAAAAAACAACAAUAAAAAUAACAACAACCAUCGAAGAUUUUUGAAAAUAGUUGUGUGAUUGUUAAUCACUUCAUUUAAAAAAAAAUUAAUGUUAUAUCAUGUUUUUAAUUAUAAUAAACUACACUAUAUAAUAAUAAUAAUAAUAAUAAUAAUAAUAAUAAUAAUAAUAAUAAUCAAGGGCAAAAAGCUAAUCUACUUGGUCAACAUAAAAUGACUUUUAAGUUGAAAAAAAAACACCCCUCACCUAUCUUUUAGAUUUUGGCAUAAAAUAAGUCAUUUUGGACUUAAAAUAAGUCACUUUGAUAAUUGUCAAACACUCAAAUAAAUCAAAAACUGAAUUUUAAAUCAGUUUGACCAGCUUUUAAGCCCAUUCCAAUAGGCUCUAAGUGUGUAAAUAACUUUUCGAUACAAGUUCAAGGUGAAAUUUAUGUCUUUUCCCUUUGAAAUACCUAUCACAAUACUUUAUUUCUCACGCCAUGUAUUCAUGAUAUAAUAAAAAUAUAUAUAUUAAAUAUUGAAUAAGAAAUUUAUGGGUGCCUCGACUAUGUUAAAAAAAGACAUAUGUCUUAGGUCCCCCAAAUUUAAGGGGCCUCAUUUUUAAUAAUAAUAGGUUAUAAGUUAUUAUUUUUUUAACAAAUAUUGAAUACUAUUUAUAGAAAAAGUAAAAUUUUUCAUGAAAAAUAAAGGAAUUAUAGAAGAAAUUUGACAUGUUUGAAGUAAUAUAUCUCAAGAAAAAUAAUUUAAAAUAAGAAUGAUUAUAUUAUCAAUUGAAAACUAGAAGAAAUCAAUUAUAUGAAGUUAUUGACGAUUCAAGUCUAAUGAUCUAUUUAAUUUUUGAUUUAAGCCACUAAUAUACUUAAGUCACUUCUAAAGAAAUUUUGAUAUUUUUUCAAAGAAAGAUGUAACAUAAAAGUUAUAAUAAAAUAUGUCUUUUACUUUAUCAGAAAAUAUCAAGAGAACGUGGGAUGAAUGCAUGAGUUAAUUUGACAAAGUUUUAUCAUUCAUUACAAUAUUAUUAAAAUUAAUAAUCUAUCUUAUUUAAUGGCUCAAUAAGUGAAUGAAAAGACAUGUUAAAACUAAUGUAAUUAAGUAUUUUACUUUUACAAAUUAUGACUUAUUAAAACUAAUGUAAUUAAGUAUUUUACUUUUACAAAUUAUCAAAAAUUUCAAAGGACUAAAUCGUUAUGUCAGAAGUGAUUUUAUUUUCACGGUGUUAAGUGAAAUCGCUAAAUCACUGACCUACCAGCGAUUUUGUUCAUAUUUUUUUCCUAUUUUUUUUAAAGGCAACGAUUUUAGUGGAUUUUUUUCCUUACAUCUCGUAAUUUGAAAUAACUAAGAAAUCAAGAAUAAACAAAAUCGCUUCUGAUAUAGCGAUUUAGUGCUUUUAGUUUUAAAAAACUUAAUGUACCCUUUUGAAAUUUUUAAUGUUUUUUUUAACUCAAAGAAAAUUUUUGUAUGGGUAGUGUUUUUGGAUUUUUUUUUAGAAAAAUAAAAUUGCUUUACUGUCGCAUUUUUAUUUUAAUUGUUUUUAAUAUCGCUGCCUAAAAAGCGAUUUAAGUGGGAAAUUAUUAUACUUUUUGGCAAAUGGUAGCGAUUUGUGUGGAAUAUUUUUUAUUUCUUUCUUUUUAAAAAUCUUGGCAACUCUUUAGUUAAAUAACUUUUAUUAAGAUAUUGCUGGCAAUUAUUUUUUAAAAAUUCGUUUUAAAUGUUGGUAAUCAAUUUUAAAAAAUAAUUAUACAAUUUUUUUAAAAAAAAAAUUGGCACUGAUAUUUUUUUUUAAAAAAGAACUUCCACCAAGCAGCGAUUUUUUAUAUAAAAAUCACGAAAAUAGCUGUCAAGAAUUUUUUUUCCAUUAAAACGCUGUUUUUUUUAAUAUAUAAAUGUUGCAUUGCAGUGAUUUAAAAAAAGAGAAAAUUGUAUAUAAUAUAGUAAACUAAUAAUAUAAAAUAAAAUGAAGCAGCUAGGAUUUGAUUUAAUUGUGCUCCAUAGCAAAUGUUUGCAAAAAAUUGCCAGACACCUCUCUCCCAAAUAUCUCGCUCGCCACUCUCCUCCAAUCUCUCGCUCUCUUCCUCACUUUUUAUACAAACACAAGUGUAUAAAAAUUGUUUCUAAUUGUAUAAAGCAGAAAAAAUUGUAUAAAUACAUAUAUUUUUGUUUCCUUCUCUCCUCUCUUCUAGAUCUCGCUCGCCACUCUCCCAAAUCUCGCUCGCCACCCUCGCCUUUCUCACUUAUAUAAACAGAAACGAAAUGUAUAAAUUGCGUUUCUGUUUGGAUAAAGCGUGAGAAAAUUGUAUAUACACAUGCAAGUACAUAUAUUUUCGUCCUAUACACCCAGUUUCUUUUGCCUUUCUCUCUUUCUCAUUUUAUACAAUUUUCAAAUUGUAUCUAAUUUCUUUCUUCCUCGUUUUAAGUAAAGUUAUCAUUACAUAAAUCAAAUGGAGUGAGCUCAAACUUUAGUUAAUUUUUUUUAAAAAAAAUAUUUUGUUGUUUAACAAUUUUUAAAAUGAAAAUGCUAAACCUUUUUCACAAUUAUGUUUUAUAGUUUUUUUAUCAAUAUCUAGUCGAUGAUAACCAUAAUUUUAAUAUAAAUAAUAUAAUAAGGUAACUUAAUUCUGAAAUUCAAGUAUUGAUAUUUUUGAGAAAAUAUUUAUUUAGAAAUUGUAAAACAUUCAUAAUCUAAUAUUUAAUAUGUUUCUUACUCUCAACGAAUGACACUAAUUCAUCAUGAUUCAAAAUUGUAAGAAGUAAAAAUCAAUACUAAAAAGUGCAACUCAUUAUUAUAUGAAGUUUAAUAUGUAGUUUAUCUAUUGUCGAAAGUUUUCCAAGUAUAUGAUAUAUAAUUCUAUGAUAAAUUAAUUUUUGAUCCCAUAUAUUUAUACUAUUUUCAAAUUUAUACCGUUAAUUGAUUAUAUAUUUUCUUAAACUACAAUUACGCGAUCAUUAUUUAUCAAUUCUACUUUAUCAACUUUAUAUUCUUCUUUUUUAUAUCUUUAGAAUUGUGCUAUUUUUGUUUUCUUAUUUAAGUUACAAUUUUAAAGAUAAAAUAAAUAUUUUUUGGAGAUAAAAUAAGUUAAAUAAAAAACUAUAUGAAUACUUAUGUUGAAAAAAAUUAUAUAUAAUUAAAAAAUUGUCCUAUUUUUAUUUUCUUAUUUAAGUCACAAUUUUUAAAGAUAAGAUAAAUAUUAUUUUGAGAUAAAAUAAGUUAAAUAAACUAUAUGAAUACUUUUGUUUAGAAAACAUUAUAUAUAAUUAAAAAAAUUACAUAUAUGAAAGAUUAUAAAAUUAUACUGGUUAUGUUGUAGUAGUAAUAAACAUAGAUGAACAAUUUGAAUUGUCAAGAGUAUAAAAAUAAAAAUAUUUUUCACAUUAUUAUUAUAUCAAACAAAUACAAAUUGAUUUUCAAAAAGAAUAAUAAAAUGUAUUUGUGGGUCACACAUGAAACAAAAAUUAUGUGAUUCUUGAAAAAAAAUAAUAGAUUCUUCUAGAAAACUAUUUUGACAAUUAAUUAUACAAUUAUAAAUUUAAAACUUUGCCCAUAAAAAUAAUUAAAAUUACAAAAUUGUCAUUGAUUGGCCUCAUCAUGACUCUUAUGUAUAAUAGAAACUAGACAAUUGAAGGCCCGUUCAUGGGCUCAAUAUAAUUAAUUAUUUUUUUCAAUUUUAAGUUAAAAAAAUUAUCCAAAUUAAUAUCUUAUUUUAUCAUAGUUUCUAAAAUUUUCUACUAUUUAAACAAUUACAAAAAUGUCCUCUCAGAUACAUUCUUAUCCUCUGUCGGACACAUCAGUAUCUCCUCUCGAAUACAUUCCUAUCAUUUCUUGAAUACAUCUUUAUCUCAUCCUGAAACAUCCAUAUCCUCUCUUGGAUACAUCUCUCCCCUUUCGGAUACAUUCAUUCUCUCUCGAAUACAUCCCUACCUUCUCGGAAUCAUCGUGAGCUCUAUGUCUGCAAGUUUCCUCAAUAGCAAUGUAUCACGAUCGAUGUAUCCGCAUGUGUUGAUUUAUCUGAAAUUAUUUAAUUUUAAAAAGAUUUCGUAAUUUGAAAAAAGUAGGAAUAUAAUGUAAUUAACUCUUUACUCUAUGACAUAUUUUUCUUUGUAGUCAGUUUCAAAAGAAUGAUGUAUAACAUAUUUAAAUAACAUUUUGACUUUAAAAUAUUCAUUCUAUUCUUAGUAAUAUUAUUUAUAGUCAUAUGAACAUCUAUGGUUUGUUUUAGACCAUGAGUUUUAAAAGUGUUUUUUCUUUUAAAAAAUUUUCGUGUUAAGUUAAAUUAAAAUUUCAUAAACCGAAAGGGAGUGAGUACAAACUUUAGAUCAAUUUUAUAUUUAUAAAAUUAAAGUUUUUGUAACUAUUUUGUCUUUUAACAAAAUUUAAAAUGAAAUAAUUCACAAUUAUUUUUAUAGUAUUUUUUUAAAAUCAAUAUUCUAUCAAUAAUAAUAAAUUUUUUUAAUUUAAAUAAGAUAAUAAAGUAUUUUAAUUUUGAAAUUCAUGUAUUGAUAUCAAUUGAGAAAAUAUUUAAUUUUAAGUUGUAAAACAUUCAUAAUCUAAUAUUUAAUGUGCUCCUUACUCUCGAUGAAUGACACUAAUUUAUAAUAAUUCAAGAUUGCAAGAAGUAGAAAUCGAGACUAAAACGUGCAACUCACUAUUAUAUGAAGGUCACUAUGUAAUUUAUCUAUUGUGGAAGUCUCAUUAGUAUAUGAUAGAUAAUUCUAUGCCAAAUUAAUUUUUGUUUUCAUAUAUUUAUACAAUUUCAAAAUUUAUCCCGUUAAUUGGUUAUGUAUUUUAUUAAACUACAACUGCACUCAUUAUUUUAUCUUUUUUUUUAUUCUUACAUUAUCAACUCUAUUUUUUUAUCUCUUUAGAAUUGUGAUACUUUUGUUUUCUUAUUUAAAUCACAAUGUUUUAAAGAUAAAACAAAUUUUAUUUUGGAGAUUAAAUAAAUAUUAUUUUGAAGAUAAAAUAAAAAAAAGAUUUACUAACCUACAACCAGGAAGAUCCACUUUGAAACCCAGCGACGAAGAAAACUUUGAAACUCUUAGCCGCGAAAUGAGGGUGAAAGAGUAAAAUCAUUUCUGGAAAAUAAUGAAACGAGGGGAAAAAAGCGUAAUAAAGAUUUAAGGAAUUAGUCUAUGUGGUAGUGGACCCUAUUGACAUGCAAUAUGGAAUUCACAUAGCAUUUAACAACUUCUCUUAAUUAGAAGGGCAAUUUUGACCCAAUAGUUUCACGGAAAGGGUACUUUUGAGCCGAAAUAUACUUUAAGGGUAAAUAUGAGUUAUUUCAGAUAGUUUAAGAGUAUUUUUUACCCUUUUACUUUUAGUCUACGUGGUAGUGGAACCCUAUUGACGUGCAAUGUGAUGGCAUUUAACAACUUCCAUUAAUAAGAAUUGCACUUUUGACACAAUAGUUUGACGGGGAGGAGAGUUUUGAGCGGAAAUAUAAUUUAAGGUAAAUAUGAAAUAUUUCAGAUAGUUUAAGGAUAUCUUUGACCCUUUUAUGUUAAAACUAUAUGAAUACUUAUGUCUAAAAAACAUUGUAUAAAAUUAAAAGGAAAUUAAAUCAUGGAAGAUGGUAGGCUAUACUGAAUAUGUUGUAGUAACAACAAACAUAUAUAAACUAUUAAGUUGUAUAAAUAUUUUUUAUUUAUUAUAAUCAAACAAAUAAAAGUUAAUCUUUAAAAAUUAAAUAAAAUGAUUACAUGGAGUCCCAUGAAACAAAACUUUUUGUGACUCUUGAAAAAGAUUAUUGGAUACUUCUAGAAAAUUAUUUUGACCACUGAUUAUGCAAUUAUAAAGUUGUAAUUUUGCCCAUAAAUAAUGUUUAAAAUUACAAUAUUGUCAUUGGUCAUCCUAAUCAUGACUCUUCUAUAUAAUAGAAAUAAUAAUAACUAGAUAUCAGGUGCCCGUGCUAACGCAAACGCAACGUAUGUUAGAUUUUUCUUCUUCCAAUUUAUGUGACAAAAAUGAAAUUUGAAAAAAAUGAACUAAAUUUUUUAUAUGUGUUUUUUUUAAAAAAUAUUUUAAAUUAUUAAUUUAUGUAUCUUUUUUGUCAUUUUCGAAUAAUAUAUGUUACUUUAUCUAUUUUAUUUUAUAUGAUACAAGUGAUUUUAGGAAAGUAAACGAAAUUUCUUAUAUGAUUUUCAUAUAUUUUUAGUUGUCAUUUUACUGCGAUUCAUAGUACUUUUUAGUUAUUACGUUAUUUUCAAACAAUAUAUGCAACUUUUUUUUUGUUUCAAUAAAAAUAAGGGAGUCAACAAAAUUUCAUUAUGUUUUUUCAACUACAUUUUUCUAAAAAUAUUUUAAAUUGUUACAUUGCUUUUUAAAGUUUUUUUAAAUGUAACUUUCAAAUAUGUAACAAAUUAGAAAUUAAAACGAAGAAUUAAAGUUUUCAAAUCAUUAUAUUUCUAUAUUAGAAUAUUAAAACCUUUAAAACUACAUAUAUAUGCAUAAAUUAGUAGAAGGAAGCCUAACAACUUAUUUUUAAAAAAAUAUAUGAGAGCUCAUUUUAAUAGUAAUACAUACAUAUUUCAUUUUUCAAUAUCCGAAUCCCUCCUUUUCGAUUUAUAUAAAUUUAAUUUAAUUUAAUUUUUAUUUUGUUUCAAAAAGAAAAUAACUUCUGAAUUUUAUUUGUUUAUAAAGCAUAUUUAAGAUCACAAAAUCAAAAAAAAAUAUUUCAAUUCACAAAAUUUAAAUAUACAUAUAAAUUUUAAUUUUAAUUUUGAUUGGUUCCACCUAAUAUUAUACUUGAUAUAUAAUUAUUAAGAGCUAAGCGUAAUCAUUAUCUAUUUACUUUCGUAUAAUAAAUAGAUAUCACAAUAACUCUUAAAAAAUGAAGAAAUAACGAAAAUGAGAUAAUACUAAUAAUAAUCACUAAAGAUUUUCUAGAACUAGUUAAAUUUCUUGUUAUCAAUCGUGUUAGUUUUUUGCUUGCAUAAAUUACAUUUUUACCUUCGAUCAUCAUUCACUUCAUAUAUAGAAAGAUGUUUCUAGAAUUAUUUAUUCUUGAUAAAUUAUUGUUAGAAUGAAAUUACAUUUUAUUCUUAGUCGUCUUUAAUACAAAGUAUCAUCCUAUUCAUUUUUUAUUUGUCAAGUUACUUUUUAAGAUCUUUUUCUUUAAUUUCAGUCUAAUAUAUAUUAUUAAUUUAUCACACUUAUUUAUUUUCAAGUAUAUUAUUAGAGUCAAAAUAAAGAUGAAAAUAAUUAAUUCAUGAUAACUUUUUAUAUAAAAAGUAGGCAUAUAUUAUAAGCAUAAUGAAUAGAAAAAAAUAUUAAGAAUUAAUUUAAAGUAAUAGUAAAGUAGAGUAAUUAUAAAAUAGAUAUCACAAUAACUCACAAAAGAAAAGAAAGUGAAGUGAUAACAAAAUAAGUUAAUGGUAAUAAUAAUAACUUAAAAUAUUUCUAGAACUAUUAUUUUUAUUUUUUUUUGUUAUCAUUCUUCAUAGAUUUUUGUUAGCAUGAAAUUAUAUUUUUGCUGUAACGACCUGUUUAGUCGUUUGGAGCAGCAGAGUUAAUUUCUGAAAAUCACUGUCUGGGUCGACGGAUCCCACGACAGACCGUCAUGGGCACGACGGACCGUCGAGGGUGUCUCGUGCCAAAACACUUAGAAUUUAGAAAUUUGGGUACUGAGAUCGACUCUCUGAACUUCACGACGAAAUGGCAGGACGGACCGUUGAGGGCUCGACGGACCGUCACAAAUCCUUCCGCAGAAUUAACUCUCUGAACCUUGUGACGGACGUGCAGGACGGACCGUCACAGUUGUGACGGACCGUCACAGGCUGCGUGACCCUGACUGGGUCGGAUUUCUGUUAAAUAUUUUAAGGGGCGUUUUGGACUAUUCCUACUUAUAAUUAUAAAGUUAGUGGUUUAAUGUUAAUAAUUUAAUUACUUGGGGGUUAAAAGAGAGAACCUUGAAACAAAUAGUGGGAUAUUUUAUCAUCUUUUAUACUUAAUUAUAUGCUAAUUAGGGUAAAAGAAAGAGGGUUUGAAUAAGAAAAAGAAAAAGAACAGAGAGAGAGGGAGAAACGAUCGAUUGAGAGAGAAGAAGAACGCAGCUUUGGGAAAGUAGAUUGCUUGAUCACAAUCCUUCGGUGGAGGUAGGUUAUGGUUUAUGCUAUUCGUAGUAAACUCUUAAUAGCGAAUGAUAUGUAUUGGGUAGUGUUGUAAACCCUUCUAUAUGCUUAAUUGUAUGCUUGCAUGAAUGUGAUUAUAUAAUUGUGAUAAAAUAAGCAUGAUGAAGCUAUUGAAUCCUAAAUCUUGAAAAUCCUAAUCUACUUUGUUAAUGAUGAUGCCUUGGUAUAAAAGAAGGCUUGAUGAACGAAAGUAGUAAGAUUAGGGGAUCGGAGUGUCACGUUCCGACACCAGGAUAGUAUAUGGAUCGGGUGCCACGUUCCGGUACCAGGAUAGUAUAUGAGGAUCGGAGUGUCACGUUCCGACACCAGGAUAGUAUAUGGAUCGGGUGCCACGUUCCGGUACCAGGAUAGUAUAUGAGGAUCGGAGUGCCACGUUCCGGUACAAGGAUAGUAUAUGAGGAUCGGAGUGUCACGUUCCGACACCAGGAUAGUAUAUGGAUCGGGUGCCACGUUCCGGUACCAGGAUAGUAUGAUGAGGAUCGGAGUGUCACGUUCGGACACCAGGAUAGUAUAUGGAUCGGGGUGUCACGUACCGACACGAGAGAAAUAAAGAUAAUGAAUCUUGAAAGAUGUUAAUAUACUCAAUUUAAUGAACCUAAUUCCCAAAUGAGUAUGAUGGGGAGGCGUGAGUCCUCAUUGAUGUGCUUGGUGUUGUGACCAAGAGUUAUGAUAAUUAUAAAUGCCGCAUGUUGAGUAUUGUAGUUGAUUUUAUGAUAUAUCUGAUAUAUACUAUUUUCUAUUUUGAGUUGGCCGAUGAUAUCUACUCAGUACUCGUGUUUUGUACUGACCCCUACUUGUAAUUGUUUUUCUUUGUUAUUUGUGGAGUGCAGCAAACGUACCGUCGUCUUCAACUCAACCGCAACUCUAGCCAGUCUUCAUUACACCGGAUUUCAGGGUGAGCUAACGCUUCUAGCUUGGACUGGAUCUUCUUCUUCAUGUCUUGAUGCCUUGAAGUUCCGGCAUGGACUAGCUUUUUAUUUAUUCUAGCUUUCUAAAUACUCUUAGAAUUAGUAAUUUGAGGAUAGAUGUUCUUGUGAUGAUGACUUCCAGAUUUUGGGAAUAAUAAGUAUUGAGUUUUUAGAAGUUAUUUAACCGAUUUUCAUUAAUGAGUUUAAGUCUUCCGCAUUAUAUUCUGUUUAUUAUGGUUCAAAUGUUGGGGUUUAGAUUGGUUGGUUCGCUCACAUAGGAGGGUAAGUGUGGGUGCCACUCGCGGCCCGCUUUGGGUCGUGACAUUUGCCCUUGAUUAUUAUUCACUUCAUAUAUAGAAAGAUGUUUCUAGUAUUAUCAAUUAUCUUGCUUAAUAGAUUUUUGUUAGCGUGAAAUUACAUUUUUGCCCUUAAUCGUCCUCCCACUUCACUCUUCUAUAUAAUUGAAUAGAAAUACAUUAUAUAAAAUAAAUAUUUAUAAAUGAUUAUAAGUUUUCUAUAUCCUUUUUAUAGUGAUUAAUUUACAAUAGGUAAAUGGAUAUGUAUGGGUAAUAAAAUAUAUAUGAGAAUAGUAAUUUAAUUGUGAUAUAUGGCAAAUUCAUCAAAUAGUCAGUCUCUAAUAAUUUAUAUAUUAGUAGUGAAGUAUAAUGUUAAAUUUUAAACGAGGAUUUACAUAACGUGAGAAAGACUUCUUUUCUUUUUUAUUUUCUCAAGAGAUUUUUACAUUUUAAAAUUAGUUUAUAACUUAACAUUAAAUUACUUUAUAUGUAUUUUACUUAUUCAAACUCUCACAUAAUUACUUGUACAUUUGUUUAUUUAUGGUCUUCAUAUAUAACCCCUAGUAUAGCCUUGCUAAACUAAAUUUUGAAAAUUAUUACUAGUAAGGUGUUUGUUUCCUCACCUCAUAUAUUUACAUCAUAUGCAUAAAAAUUAUGUAAAAUGAAUAACAUAUUUUUUUAUUUAUUUUUAAAGAGACUAGUUAUUUGGGGCCGCUAAAGCCUACUUCAAAAUUAGCAAAUCAAAAGAAAGGAAGUGUACCUAUCAACCAAGUAAAAAUGUCAACUACUUCUAAAAAGUUUGGACAAUUUUUAAGACUAUGAAAAUAUAGAGACAUAGUAAAAUAUUGCGUGAAUCACUUAAUAAAAUCGAAAACAUAAUAUAUUGGAGAUAGUUUUACUAAAAAUAAUUUUACAAUAAAAUUGAAAUGUGUACAUAUUUAUUGAAUUGUGGGUAUAGAGACAAUUUUUAAGCUUUUUUCUGAUUUACAUAUAUUAAAUCGCGAAAGAAGUCAUGUGUUCUUAAUAAAAUAAUCGCUAAUGGCAAUUAUAUUUGCUGCUAAAAUUCUUCCUCUAAAUAACUUAAUUUACACUUUUAGCGUUUAAGACGCAAUGUCCAUCUUAAACUAAUAAAUAUGAGAAAUAAAUAAACUCAAUUGGGGGAUAACAAUUUCUUAAUUAGUAUGUUAUAUAUACAUUAUUUCAAUUAUACUUUCGAGUUUUGAUAUUACGAAAAUAUAAUGUCAAACUUUAAAGACAAGAAUUUACAAAUGAGAACGACUUUUUUUUAAAAUAUAAUGUCAAACUUUAAAGACAAGAAUUUACAAACCAUGAGAACGACUUUUUUUUAUUAUACGUUUUAUUAUAUAUAUAUAUAUAUACAUACACACACACAUAUAUAUACAUAUAUCAUUGACUCUAUAUAUAUAAGAUAGGAAAGAGGUUAAAAUAUAUCAUUGAACUUUCAGAAAAAAACUCAUUUAUUCAUCAGUUAAAAGUUUGGCUCAUUUAUGCCAUUACCGUUUAAAAAAGAUUCAUUCUUGCCAUUAUUUUUUAAUAAUGGUUUCGCAAAACCAUUUUUAAUACGUGACCAAUUAUAAUCGGCUACGUCCUCAAUUUAUUUAAUUAAAAAAUCAUCAUUCUAAAAAAAAUUGAAUUCAUUUUUUUUGAUUUUUUUAUUAAAUAAAUUGAUGACAUGGCUAAUUAGAAUUCAGUGGGAUUUCUUAAAUUUGGGCGGGUCUUUAUUUGAGUGGGGUUUUUAUUUAAUGUUUUCUCAGAAUUGAUUUUUUAUCAAAAAAAAAUAAAAAAUGAUGUGGCCGAAUCAUAACUUGUCACGUGUGAAAAGUGGUUGGGCAAAAUCGCCGUUAAAAACUAAUGGCAUGAAUGAGUCUUUUCCUAAAUGGUAAUAACAUGAACGAGUCAAACUUUUAACGGAUGACAUAAAUGAGUCUUUUCUAAAAGUUCAACGGCAUAUUUGAGCUUUUUCCCUUAUUAAAAAAGUGGCUUACAUACACUCAUAUUAUUACAUAAAUAUUCUAAAAUAUACCAUUUUGUUCUAACGGGAGUGAAAACAAAUAUUUUUUUAAACAUAAUUUUUUAUUUUUAAGAAGUAAAAUCUGAAUAUAUUAUCUUCCACUUUCCUAGAAAAUAUUAUCCUACAAGAUUUUUUAUUUUUAAAAUUAAAAUUAAUAUUUUCACUUCCAUUAGAUGAUGAAGAUAUACCUGAAUCACUUUUAUAAUGGUAAGGAUAUGUAUGAACUCUUUUAAUUCAAAUGUGAAUUAUUUUAUAAUGAGCGAUAUAACAAUUUUAAAUUGCAAAGUUAUGAAGACCUUUUUAUUUAGGGAAAAGGGUCUGAUAUACCCCUCAACUUUGUCAUUUAGAGCUGAUAUGCCCCUUGUUGUGAAAGUGGCUCAUAUAUACCCUUACUUGUAAACAAAUGGCUCACAUAUACCCUUUUCCUCUAACGGAAAUGGAAAAAAAAAUAAUUUUAAUCUAAUUUUUUAAUAUUUUUUGUCUAAAAAUUAUAAUCCCAUAUGAGUAAAUUUAAUCCUCGUAAAACAUAUUUUUUUUAACCUUUUUUAGUUUCAAUGACUAAUUUAUAAUUAUUAUUUUGAUAAUCAAAUUUAUUUAUGUUUCACUAAUAUUCUUGUAAAACUUAUUGUAGAUAACCAAAUUUUUUCUUCGAAUAUGAAAUUAAAUUACAAUACACACAAAAAAUAGUUUAAAUUUUUUCUCUUUAAACUAAGGAUUGAAAGAAAAAACAUAAGAAUAAGAAACUCAAAUAAUUAUAAUAAAAAAAGUCAAAAAAUAAUUUAUAUAUGAAAAAAAUCAAAAUAUACCUUGAACUUUGAUAGAAGAAUCAUAUAUAUCCCUAAAUAAUUUUUUUAAAAAAUUACAAGUAAUAAAUAUCAAUUUAAAACUAAUUUUUUAACUUCCGUUAAAUGAAGGGUAUAUAUGAGCCAUUUUGUAACGGGAGGGGUAUAUGUGAGCCGUUUGUAUAACGGUAAGGGCAUAUAUGAGCCACUUUUAUAACGGGGGGUAUAUUAGCUCCAAAUAACAAAGUUGAGGAGUAUAUCAGACUCUUUUUCCUUUUAUUUAUUGUAUAAAAGCAUUUCAUAUACUAGUUACAUAUUUAAAUAUUGAAAAUGUUGAUAAGAGAUCCCAUUAAAUGCUAAAGUAUUGGUAUUUUAAAAAAAUUUCCUUUUAUUUAUUGUAUAUAUCUAACAUCUCGUAACUUCAAAUAACUAAGAAUAAACUAAGAAAUCAAGAAUAAUCAUUUUUGGAAAUAAAUAGGAAAUCUGAAAAAUUUCCCAAGUGUAAAAGUGAGUUUUUGGUCAAUUUCAAACGACCAUAACUCCCAGCUUAGGAGGAGUUAGUGUGAGUUCCUUAUAUGGUUGGAAAUCCCUUGGAAAGAAAUUUCCAACAACGCCAAGUUUGUACAUUUUAGAUGUCGUAUGAAGGAGAUAUGACUUUCGAAAGUUUGGUUGUUGGAGUGAGGAAAAUUCAAUCCGGAUUUAGUAAGGAUAAAGUAGUCUUUUCACCCUAGUAUUUUCUAAUUCGUUUUAAGGGUUUAUUAGGGGUAAAAUCAAGUCCAUAUUCAGUUUUGAAAAAGUUGAGAACGCUCAUGGCUUGGGAGAAAAGAGAAGAGAAAACCAAAAUUUCUUCAAGAACGCUAAGGUUUCGCUAGAGGAAUUCAUCGGGGGUGAUCUCUAUCGAGGUAUAUGAGAUCUUUCUAUGUUGGGUUCGUUCACCCACACACCAACAUGUUUAUUUAGCAAUUUUUGUAUUGAUUGAAUAAUGAAUCUUGAAGUUCUUGAUGAGCAAUUGUUGAAUCCUUAUUGGUAGAGUUGUAGUGUACCUUUAGUUGGUGUUGAUUCGUAUUUUCAGGCUGUUUUACGAGUCUAAACUAUUGGGUAUUGAGUAUAUUAGUGAUUGAUACGCUCAAACUUACUUUUUAAAUAAGAAGUAAAGCAGUAAAUGGGGGUUUCUAUUCCUAAAUAAAUGAAAAUAACUAGCGAAAUUAAAGGAGACAACUAACAACUUCGAAUGUUGGAGUUUAAUCACUUAAUCAAAGUAACUAGGGUUUACGUGUUCCCCACAGGUUCAUAACUUGAUAAUUCUAACUAUAACAAUUCUUUCCUAGUAUCUUGCAUGCAAAGUGAUAAGUUAUGUAUUUCUAAAUCCUUGGUCCGGCAUCUAGAAAAUUUCACUCGGCACCUUGGUCCGACUACGUGUGUUGCUAUACUAACCCUUAUAUUUACCUCAUAUUAAGCAUCGUAUUCGAUAUUUGACUAAGUUAUUACCCCGUACCAAUCAAUACUAGCCUAUUAGAUAGUAUACACUAAAUUUAUAUUGAUAAUUCUUUUCCUAUUAUCUUCCUCCUUGGUCCGACAAGUAGCAUUAAGGCGAGUUCUAACGUUGGCCAUCCGUUAAAAAGACUUCCAAGCGAAAGAAUUAUCAAUACAUGCAAGACACUAUUCUAGAAUUGUUAUUUUAGUUAGAUUUUACCUCAUUAUUCGCCUAUGGUUCCCACAACCCUAAUUAUGGAGUUUAGUUACCCAUAAUCAUAAUCACAAUAUUCAAAUAUAUGAUAUAAGAAUUCAUGCACUUACUUCAAUGAGAAAGAGUAAAAUCCAAAAGUUAGCUUGAUUAAUCAACAAUCAAUUACAAGAAUAUCAAAAUAAUCAAGAAUCUCACAAAAAGUCUAAAAAAUAAUCAAGAGUCUAACAAUAAUCAAGGGCCUAACCAAAUAAUCCAGAGUCUAACCUCAAAAACGAGGUUUUUCAAACUAUUUAUAAAAAAUAAAAACCUAAUUACAUAAGGACUCUAUUUGCUGGAAAUCUGUCAAAACGCGGCUGGGUCAACGGACCUCGCGACGCAUCGUCGUGGUCACGACGGACCGUCAUGGACACGACGGACCGUCAUGGACUCCGUCGUCCCAUACUUGAUGCAAUUUCUUAUGCUGCUCUCUUCAUUACUCUCGACAGCAGGUAUGAUGGAUCGUUACAGGCACAACGAUCCGUCGAGGGUCUCCGUUCCAAAACACUUGAACUCUUGGAAUAUGGGUACUGGGACUACUUCUCUGAACUUCAUGACGAACCUGCAGGACGGACCGUCAUGGAUACGACGGUCCGUCACGCAUUUUGUAACCCCACACUUGGUCAGACUUCCCCAUUUUCCUUCAGCAGCUGCACUACGUUGCCACCUACGGACCGUCACGAGCAUGACGGACCGUCACAAGCAUGACGGACCGUCACAAGCAUGACGGACCGUCACAAGCAUGACGGACCGUCACAAGCUCCGUAGGUGGUCUCUUCUGCAUUUCUUUGCUCAAAAACCUCCGCAUUCAUCUUUGGAUAGAUUUCCUGCAAAUAAGGAGAAACUUAUAUAAAAAUUAGCACAAAAAGAUUUUGGACACACUAACUUAAGGAAAAAAUAUUAAUAAUACCGUGACACCAUAGUAUAUCAGUGAUCCUAAGUGUUUGGGAAAAAUCCAUGAAUGUUUUGAAGGUUUAGAGUUGAAAAUCGGAGAAGAAAAGUCAGAAAACUCGUCUGACAGGUCUUGUGGCACCGUGCCUACAAGAGCCCCUCAGGACAGACUCUUUCUGUCAGGCUCUGGCGCGCCGCCGUGCCAGCUAGAGCGCCUGAAGACAGUGUCUGUCGGUCAGGCGCUGGUGCCCCGCGCCUCUCAGAGCGCCAGGGUCACCUGGAGAUUCUAUUUCUCUCCCAUCUUUUCGUACGAGUUCCUAAGUGACGUAUCUAUUAUUUCUAGUUAGUUCCAAUACUCUAAAGUAAAUAUAAACAUUAUGAAAUCAUCCAUAAUAAUGAGAUCAGGAUCCGUGAAUGCAUAAUCCAAUUCAAGGGAAGUUAAGAUCAAAGUCAAAAAAAGUUAAGAGUCAAGUCUAAAAGUUAAAAAACAAGUCAAAGUAAGUUCCUAAAGCAUUCAAGAGUCUUAAACAAACAUUUUAACUUUGUUUUAAGGUUCAAGCAAUGAGUUGAGCAAAGAGUAAAAGAGUUGAGUUAAAUUUUCAAAAGCUAUAAGGGAACUAAGUAUUCCCUAAGAGUUAAGUUUCAAGUUAAGCAAAUAGUAACAAGUUGAGUUCACUUCUCAAGAGUUAGAAGGGAACUAAGUAGUCUCUAACAGUUUAAACAAGAUGUUUUUAAACUUUUGAGAAAGAAAGGAAGCUAGACUUCCACAGAGCCUAUGACUAGUUUUAGUAAAAGAAAAAGGAAACUAUGAUUUCUAAGAAAGUUUUUGAAGCAAAGUUUGAGAAAUUAUCUCAAACUAGAGAAGAAGUUGUUUUAAAAAAACAUAUGAGCUAAGUAUUUUGGGAGUAGUAUUGAGCACCGAUAUGGUGACGCGAGUUCAUAUUAACUCAAGUCUCCAUAAACCAUUGAGCCAACAUGGAGAUAUAAAAGAUCAUACUUUUUAGAUGAUUCCUUAGUAAUUUUAGCAUAGACUAGUGAAUCCUCUUAGUAGUUCAGGUUCUAUAUCGACGACAAGGUAUAGAGUGGUCCUCUUGCAACAUGAGGUAAUACGUUGUACCAUCACUUAGGCUCAUAGAUGGUUGUCGGUUAGAUAAUCUCUCAAAGAAAUUAUAAUACUUUCAAAUAUAUGAGUAAAGUUGAGUUUAUUAUUGAUUUAUCUUUAAUGAACUAAGUGUUUACACUGUUUUACAAGCUUUUCUUAUAUCGCAUGUGUCCUUACUGCUUUAUAUUGAGUCGUUAUUAAUGAGUUGAGCAGAACCAAGGUAAGUUCUUCCUUACUCCUUUCAAGCCUUAUAGUAGUGUUUAGUAUUCCAAUUCGCAUACUCGUUUGGCCUGCAUGCAUCGUCUUAUAAUGCAGAAGCAGGUAAUUAGGAUCAACAUGCAGCACUUUGUUGAACCAGUUUGAGCUCUAGAGUCAGUGGUGAGCCUCCAUGCAUUUCGGAGGAUCCUUUUAUUGCUAUCUAGUUAGUUCAAUAGAAUGUUGUGGGGUUUGUCCCAACAUUCAUCUCAGUCAGUUUAGAGGUUUCAUAGACGGAUAGUAGUAGUUAAGUUGUGUCUCUUUAUUUCAGAUUCUAUAUUUGAGACUUAAGUGCAAAUUUGGCCAAGACAGUAUUUAAAGUCAUUUUUAUGAGAACUUCUUCAAUUCUAUAACUGAAUUAAGUUGAGUCUUCCGCUGAGUUAAGUAAGUCAGACCAAGAGUUCCCUUGAGGCCAGCAAUGGUCACCAAGUGCUAGUCCCACCCAGGGUAUAAGCUCGGAGCAUGCUAAUAUAUGCAUUUCAUAUACGACUUACGUAUUCAGAUACUUUUAACAUUUUGUUAGAGCAGAAGAGUCUUAACUUAUAUAUGUAGGUGAAGUAUUGAUAUAUUGGGAUAUUGGUACUUAUUAUUAUUUUACUUUAAUACUUAUUUAUAAGUCUACAACACACGGUAAGCACACACAAGGUGCUCAACAUGUGUGCUUGAAGUAAAUUUAAUUUUGAAUGAGGUUAAUUUGGUCAUUUUAUAUAAUACUCAAUGUUUCUUUUACUUGUACAAAAUGCAAAAUUGCUUUUAUGGACAUCAAAUGACCAAAAACCCAGUAUCCUUUAACUCAUUGUCAUAUGUUAUAGAACAUUGCAAUUGGUUGAAAAUGAACUUUAAUGUAGUUGCAAUAUAAUUAUUUUUACUUCUUGUCAAAACUGCCCCUAUGCGGCUUAAGCUUAUUUUAUCAACUAUUUGUUAUUACGUGGAGAAAUUAAAGACAUCUUUAGAUGAGUCCUUUUAAGCGGUACCGACCUAGAUAUAUAUAUUCUUUUCGUUUUAUUUAUGUCAUUUUUACUAAAAAUAGGUAAUAUUUAAUAUUUAUCAUUUCACAAAAGUAAUGCAUUAUAUAGUAAUGAAAUCGACUCUCUGAACUCUGUGACGGACCGUCACAGGUACGACGAACCGUCGUGAGCCCCGUUUCAAAACACUUCAACUCUUGAGAAUUUGGUACAGGGAACGAUUCUCUGAACGUCAUGACGGAGGUGCAGGACGGACCGUCGUAGGUACGAUGGGCGUCACAGACUCCUUAAGGAAAUCGAGUCUUUGACGAACCUGCAUGACGGACCGUCGCAGGCACGACGGGCCGUCGCAGGUUGCGCAAUCCCAGUCUAGGUCAGAUUUCUUUACACAUUUUAAGGGACGUUUUUGACUAUUCCUUCUUUAAUUAUAAAGUUAGUGGGUUAAUGUUAAUAAGUCUAAUUACUUGGGGGUUAAAGAGGUAACCUCAAGUUAAUUAGUGGGUUAUUAUUGCCAUCUUUCAUUCUUAAUUAUAUACUAAUUAGGGUAAAAGAAAGAGGGUUUGAAUAAAGAAAAUAGAAAGAACACAAAGAGAGAGAGGGAGAAUCGAACGAGAAGGUGAAAAGAAGAGGAGAAACACAAAGCUUUGGGAAAUUGCUUGCUUGAUUUCUUGUCUUCGGUGGAGGUAGGUUUUGGUUUUCAUGCUAUUCGUAGUAAACUCUUAAUAGCGAAUGAUAUGUGUUAGUAGUAUUGUAAACCCUUCUAUAUGCUUAAUUGUAUGCUUGCAUGAAUGAUGUGAUUAUGGAAUUAUGAAUAAAUAAGCAUGAUGAAGUUAUUGAAUCCCAAAUCUUGAAAAGAAACCUAAUCUACUUUGUUAAUGAUGAUGCCUUGGUAUAAAAGAAGGCUUGAUGAACGAAAGGGGUGAGAUUAGGGGAUCGAGUGCCACAUUCUGGUACCAGUAUAGAGAUAGAGGAUCGGGUGCCACGUUCCGGUACCAGGAUAGAAUGAGGAUCGAAGUGUCACGUUCCGACACCAGGAUAGUAUAUGGAUCGGGUGCCACGUUCCGGUACCAGGAUAGAAUGAGGAUCGGAGUGUCACGUUCCGACACCAGGAUAGUAUAUGGAUCGGGUGCCACGUUCCGGUACCAGGAUAGAAUGAGGAUCGGAGUGUCACGUUCCGACACCAGGAUAGUAUAUGGAUCGGAGUGUCACGUACCGACACGAGGGGAAUAAAUAUAAUGAAUCUUGUAAGAUGCUAAUAUACUCAAUUUAAUGAAACUAAUUCCCAAAUGAGUAUGAUAUUGAGGCUUGAGUCCUCACGUGUGAACUUGACGGUAUUUGUUAAUGAUAUAGUACUUGUUGUUGCUACAUGUUGAGUAUCAUAGUUGAUUUUAUGAUAUUGCUUAAUAUAUAUUGUUUUCUAAUUUCGAGUUGACCGAUGAUAUCUACUCAGUACCCGUGUUUUGUACUGACCCCUACUUUUGUGUUUUCUUCUUUGUUAUUUGUGGAGUGCAGCAAACAUGCCGUCGUCUUCGACUCAACAGUAUUCAAGCCAGUCUUUACUACACCGGAAAUUCAGGGUGAGCUAAUGCUUCUAGCUUGGACUGGAUCUUCUUCUUCAAGUCUUGAUGCCUUGAACUUCCGGCAUGGACUAGCUUCUUAUGUAUUUUUAGCUUCUUAGACAUUUUUAGUUAGUAAUUUGAUCAUAGAUGUUCUUGUGAUGAUGACUUCCAGAUUUUGGGGAAUAAUAGUUAUUGAAUUGGUUUUUAUUUAAUGAGCUUAAGUCUUCCGCAUUAUUUUCUAUUGAUAUACGUUGAAAUGAUAAGGUUUAGAUUGGUUGGUUCGCUCACAUAGGAGGGUAAAUGUGGGUGCCAGUCGCGGCUCGGUUUUGGGUCGUGACAAACCUUGUAUCAGAGCAUUAGGUUCGUUGGUCUCAUCACACAAGAACGAGUCUAGUAGAGUCUUAAGGAACGGUAGGGGGGCGCCUUUACUUUUCUUUGAGGGGCUAUAAGACUUUAGGAAAUUCCAUUCUUUCUUAUCUCUUUCGUGAUACUACUUGAAUCCAAUUGGUAUCUAGGUGAUUCAAAUUGGUAUCUGACCAUCUUCACUCUAUUUCGCAGAUGGUUAGAACUAGAUCAACGACUGCGCCAACACCAACACCGGCAAGACAAGAAACGUCUGAGCCAGCCACUGGGGCUGUGGCUCAAGGAAGAGCAAUAGCAAGAGGUCGUGGUAGAGUUCGUGGGAGGACGUCCUCUAGAGGGAGAGGACGAGUACCUAGCCCAUCUGAUGCUAGGGCGGUGACUCCUCCACCGACUGAGGAAGUAGUAAGAGAGGGUGAGGAAGGGGAGAAUGAACAAGUGCAAAAUGAUGAAUUGCCACCCCAACCUACCCCAGAGAUGAUCAAUCAGGUUCUCGCUUAUCUUAGUGGGUUAUCUGAUUAGGGCCAGACACCUCCAGUGUUUUCUGCACCAGUACCUCAGGUUCCGGAGGUACAACAUGCGGCUACUAUGGCUCCUCGUAUGGAUGCCUCAUUGGACAUAGGCACGUUUCCACGUCUGACUACUGGGCCUAUAAUGACAAAUGAUCAGCAUGAACUUUUCAGUAAGUUCUUGAAAUUGAAACCCCAGUCUUCAAGGGUGCUGAAUCUGAGAAUGCUUACGAUUUUCUGGUUGACUGUCAUGAGCUACUACACAAGAUGGGUAUAGUAGAACGGUUUGGUGUUGAGUUCGUGAGUUAUCAGUUUCAAGGGAACGCCAAAAUGUGGUGGCGGUCACAUGUUGAGUGUCAACCAACAGAGGCACCACCUAUGACUUGGGCCUCAUUCUCUAGCUUGUUUUGGAGAAGUGUGUCAACCAACAGAGGCACCACUAUGACUUGGGCCUCAUUCUCUAGCUUGUUUAUGGAGAAGUAUAUCCCCCAGACUUUGAGGGAUAGGAAAAGGGAUGAGUUCUUGAGCCUAGAUCAAGGUAGGAUGUCGGUUAAUGCAUAUGAGGCUAGGUUUCGCGCACUAUCCAGGUAUGCCACUCAACUUUGUUUCAGUCUACAAGAGCGGAUUCGCCGGUUUGUGAAGGGGUUGAGGUCAGAGUUGCGGAUUUCGGCCUUACAGGUAGCGGCUACGGCAAAAUCCUUCCUAGAAGUGGUAGACUUCGUGAUAGAGGUGGAAGGAGUGAAGCCCAAUGACUUCACCUCGACAUCGACAUCAAAAAGGUUUCGAAAGGGAGGUGAGUUUAAUGGUUCUUACCCUAGGGGAUAGGGUUUCGGAGGUUACUCAGUCCGACCGAUUCAGUCUUCACUACAGACUGUAGUUGGGGGUCCACCUCAGCCGGUCAAAACUUCCUGAGGAGACCUAUGCAUGAACCAAGAAAGUGCUAUGGAUGUGGGUUUCAAUUUUGGAGAUUAAAUAAAUAUUAAUUUUGAAGAUAAAUAAAAAAAAGAUUUACUAACCUACACCAGGCGAAGAUCCCACUUUGAAACCCGCGACGAAGAAAACUUUUGAAAACUCUUACCGCGAUGAGGGUGAAAGAGUAAAAUCAUUUUCUGGAAAAUAAUGAAAACGAGGGGAAAAGCGUAAUAAGAUUUAAGGCAAUUUAGUCUAUGUGGUAGUGCCCUAUUGACAGCAAUAUGGAAUUCAACAUAGCGAAUUUAACAACUUCUCUUAUUAGAAGGGCAUUUUGACACAAUAGUUUCACGGAAGGGUACUUUUUGAGCCGAAAUAUACUUUUAAGGGUAAAUAUGAGUUAUUUUCAGAUAUUUAAGAGUAUUUUUUACUCCUUUUACCUUUUAGUCUACGUGGUAGUGGACCCUAUUGACCGUGCAAUGUGAUGGCAUUUUACAAUUCAUUACAGAAUUGCACUUUUUGACACAAUAGUUUUGACGGGGAGGAGAGUUUUUUGAGCGGAAAUAUAAUUUAAAGGUAAAUAUGAAUAUUUCAGAUAGUUUAAGGAUUCUUUGAGACCCUUUUAUGUUUAAAACUAUAAUGAAUCUUAAUGUCAAAAAACAUUGUAUAAAAUUAAAGGAAAUUAAAAUUCAUGGACAGAUGGUAGGCUAUACUGAAUAUGUUGUAGUAAACAAACAUAUAUAAAACUAUUAAGUUGUAUAAUAUUUUUUAUUUAUUAUAAUCAAACAAAUAAAGUUAUCUUUAAAAUUAAAAUAAAAUGAUUACAUGGAGUCCCAUGAAACAAAAUUUUUGUGACUCUUGAAAAAGAUUACUGGAUACUUCUAGAAAAUAUUUUGACCACUGAUUAUGCAAUUAAUAAAGUUGUAAUUUUGCCCAUAAUAUGUUUAAAUUACAAUAUUGUCAUUGUCCAUCCUAAUCAUGGAAUCUUCUAUAUAAUAGAAAUAUAAUAACUAGAUUCAAGGGUGCCCGUGCUAACGCCAACGCAACGUAUGUUGAUUUUUCUCUUCCAAUUUUAUGUGACAAAAAUGAAUUUGAAAAAAUGAACUAAAUUUUUUAUAUGUGUUUUUUUUUAAAAAAUAUUUUAAAUUAUUAAUUUAUGUACUCUUUUUUGUUGUCAUUUUUGAAUAUAUCUGUUACUUUAUCUAUUUUAUUUUUUAUGAAAUACAGUGAUUUUAGGAAAGUAAACGAAAUUUCUUAUAUGAUUUUCAAUAUAUUUUUAGUUUGUCCAUUUUACUGCGAUUCAUAGUUACUUUUAGUUAUUCACGUUAUUUUCAAACAAUAUAUGCCAAGCUUUUUUUUUGUUUCAAUAAAAAUAAGGGAGUUUCAACAAAAUUUCAUUAUCGGGUUUUACUCAUUUUUUCUAAAAAUUAUUUUAUUGUUCAUUGCUUUUUAAAGUUUUUUUUAAUGUAACUUUCAAAUAUGUAACAAUUUAGAAAUUAAACGAAGAUUAAAGUUUUCAAUCAUUAUAUUUCUAUAAUUAAGAAAAUUAAAUCGCUUUUAAAACUACAUAUAUAUUGCAUAAAUUAGUAAGAAGGAAGCCAACAACUUAUUUUUUAAAAAAAUAUUGAGAGCUCAUUUUUAAAUAGUAAUACAUAAUAUUUCAUUUUUCAUCAUCGAAUCCCUGCUUUUCGGAUUUUAUAUAAAUUAUAAUUUAAUUUAAUUAUUUUUAUUUGUUCAAAAAGAAAAUAACUUCUGAAUUUUAUUUGUUUAUAAAGAUAUUUAAGAUCACAAAAUCAAAAAAAAAAUAUUUCAAUUCACAAAAUUUAAAAAUAUACAUAUAAAUUUUAAUUUUAAUAUUUGAUUGGGUUCACCUAAAUAUUAUACUUGAUAUAUAAUUAUUAAGAGCUAAGCGUAUCAUUAAUCUAUUUACUUUCGUAUAAUAAAUAGAUAUAGCAAUAACUCUUAAAAAAUGAGAAAUAAAAACGAAAUGAGAUAUACUAAUAAUAAUCACUAAAGAUUUUCUAGAACUAGUUUAAAUUUCUUGUUAUCAAUCGUGUUAGUUUUUUUGCUUGCAUAAAUUUCAUUUUUACUUCGAUCAUCAUUCACUUCAAUAUAUAGAAUAAUGUUUCUAGAAUUAUUUAUUCUUGAUAAAUUAAUUGUUAGAAUGAAUUACACAUUUUAUCUUAGUCGUCUUAUACAAAGUAUCACCUAUUUUUUUUAUUUGUCAAGUUACUUUUUAAGAUUUUUUAUUUAUUUCAGUCUACUAUAUAUUAUUAAUUUAUCACACUUUAUUUAUUUUCAAGUUAUUAUAGAGUCAAAAUAAAGAUUGGAAAAUAAUUAAUUCAUGAUACUUUUUAUAUAAAAAGUAGGCAUAUAUUAUAAGCAUAAUGAAUAGAAAAAAAUAUUAAGAAUUAAUUAUUAAGUAAUAGUAAAGUAGCAGUAAUUAUAAAUAGAUAUAACAAUCUCACAAAAGAAAAGAAGUGAAGUGAUAACAAAAUAAGUUAAUGGUAAUAAUAAUACUUAAAAUAUUCUAGAACUAUUAUUUUUUUUUUUUUUUGUUAUCAUUCUUCAUAGAUUUUUUUUGUUAGCCAUGUGAAUUAUAUUUUGCCUGUAACGACCUGUUUAGUCGUUUGGAGCAGCAGAGUUAAUUUCCUGAAAAUCACUCGUUGGGUCGAUCGGAUCCACGACGAAACCGUUUCAAAAAAUGGGCCCAAAAAAAAAACGAACCGGACGUCGAGGGUGUCUCGUGCCAAAACACUUAGAAUUUAGAAAUUUGGUACUGAGAUCGACCUCUGAACUUCACGACGAAAUGGAGGACGGAACCGUUGAGGGGCUCGACGGACGUCAAAAUCCUUACCGCAGAAUUAACUCUCUGAACCUUGUGCACGGAACGUGCGGACGGACCGUCAAGUUGUGACGGACCGUCACAGGCUGCGUGACCUGACUGGUCCGGAUUUUCUGUUAAUAUUUUAGGGCGCGAUUUUGGACUAUUCUACUUUUAUACACUUAUCAAGUUUAGUGGUUUAAUGGUUAAUAAUUUAAUUACUUGGGGUUUAAAGAGAGAACCUUGGAACAAAUAGUGGGAUAUUUUAUCAUCUUUUUAUACUUAAUUUAUAUGCUAAUUGGUAAAAGAAAGAGGGUUUGAAUAAAAAAGAAAAAAGAGCAGAGAGAGGGGAGAACGAUCGAUUGAGAGAGAAGAAGAACGCAGCUUUGGGAAAGUAGAUUGCUUGAUCACAAUCCUUCGGUGGAGGUAGGUUAAUGGUUUACUUGCUAUUCGUAGUAAACCUUAAUUAGCGAAUGAUAUGUUUUGGGUAUGUUGUAAACCCUUUAUAUGCUUAUUGUAUGCUUUGCAGAAGUGAUUAUUAUUGUGAUAAAUAAGCAUGAUGAAGCCUUUGAUCCUAAAUCUUGAAAAUCCUAAUCUACUUUGUUAAUGAUGAUGCUUUGGUAUAAAGAAGGCUUGAUGAACGAAAGUAGUAAAGAUUAGGGGAUCGGAGUGUCACGUUCCGACACCCAGGAUAGUAUAUGCGAUCGGGUUGCCAACGUUCCGGUACCAGGAUAGUAUAAUGAGGAUCGGAGUGUCACGUCGACACCAGGAUAGUAUAAGUGGAUCGGGUGCCACGUUCCGGUCCAGGAUAGUAAUAAUGAGGAUCGGAGUGCCACGUUCCGGUACAAGGAUAUUAUAUGAGGUCGGAUGUCACGUUCCCGACACCAGGAUAGUAUAGUGGAUUCGGGUGCCACGUUCCGGUACCAGGAUCAGUAUGGAUGAAGGAUCGGAGUGUCACGUUCGACACCAGGAAUAGUAUAUGGAUCGGGGUGCUCAGUACCAGACACGAGAGAAAUAAAGAAUAAUGAUCUUGAAAGAUGUUUAAUUAACUCAAUUUAAAUGAACGCUAAUUCCAAAUGAGUAUAGAGGGGAGGCAGUGAGUCCUCAUUGAUUGUGGCUUGGUGUUGUUGACCAAGAGUUAUGAUAAUUAUAAAUGCGCAUGUUGAGUAUUGUAGUUGAUUUUAGAUAUAUCUGAUAUAUAUCUGUUUUCUAUUUUUGAGUUGGCCGAUGAUAUCUACUCAGUCUCGUAGUUUUUGUACUGACGCCCUACUUGUAAUUGUUUUUGUCUUUGUUAUUUGUGGAGUGCAGCAAACGUACGUCGUCUUCAAUCAACGCAAACUCUAAGCCCGUCUUCAAUUACAACCGGAUUUCAGGGUGAGCUAACGUUCCUAGCUUGGACUGGAUCUUUUCUUCAUGUCUUGAUGCCUUGAAGUUCCGGAAUGGACUAGUUUUUUUAUUUAUUCUAUAGCUUUUCUAAAUACUCUUAGAAUUCAGUAAUUUGAGGAUAGACUUGUUCUUGUGAUGAUGACUUCCAGAUUUUGGGAAUAAUAAGUAUUAGAGUUUUUAGACGUUUAUUACAUUCAACAAGAUUAUAUACAUAUAUAAGAAGAUUUAGUCUUUCCGCAUUAUAAUUCUGUUUAUUAUGGUUCAAAUGUUGGGGUUUAGAUUGGUUGGUUUCGCUCACAUAGGGGGUAGUGUGGGUGCCACUCGGGUCCCGCUUUGGUCGUGACAUUUGCCCUUGAUCUAUUAUUCACUUUACAUAUAUAGAAGAUGUUUCUAGUAUUAUAUCAAUUAUCUUUGCUUAUAGAUUUUUGUUAGCGUGUGAAAUUAAUUUUGGACCUUAAUCGUCCUCCACUUCACUCUUCUAUAUAAUUGAAUAGAAAUAACAUUAUAUAAAAUAAAUAUUUAUAAAUGUUAUAAGUUUUCUAUAUCCUUUUUUUAUAGUGAUUAAUUAACAAAUAGGUAAAUCGGAUAUGUUCGGGUAAAAUAAAUAUAUAUGAGAAUGUAUUUAUUGUGAUAUAUGGCAAUUCAUCAAUAGUCAGUCUCUAAUAAUUUAUAUAUUAGUAGUGAAGUAUAUGUUAAAUUUUAAAACGAGGAUUUUACAUAAGUGGAGAAGACUUCUUUUCUUUUUUAUUUUCUCACGAGAUUUUACAUUUUAAAAUUAGUUUAUAACUUAACAUUAAAUUACUUUAUAUGUAUUUUACUUAUUCAAACUCUCACUAUCAAUAUUGUACAUUUGUUUAUUUUUGGUCUUCAUAUUAACCCUAGUAUAGCCUUGCUAAACUAAAUUUUGAAAAUUAUUAUAGUAAGGUGUUUGUUUCCUCACCUCAUAUAUUUACAUCAUAUGCAUAAAAAUUAUGUUAAAUGAAUCAACAAUAUUUUUUUUAUUUAUUUUUAAGAGAGCUAGUUAUUUGGGGCCGCUAAAGCCUACUUCAAAAUUAGGCAAAUCAAAAGAAGGAAGUGUACUAUCAACAAGUAAAAAUGUCAACCUACUCUAAAAAGUUUGGACAAUUUUUAAAGAUAACUGAAAUACUAGAGACAUUAGUAAAUAUUGCGUGAAUCACUUAAUAAAUCGAAAAACAUAAUAUUUUGGAGAUAGUUUUACUAAAAUAUUUUUAACAAUAAACUUGAAUGUUGUACAUAUUUAUUGAAUUGUGGGUAUAGAGACAAUUUUUAGCUUUUUUUCUGAUUUAACAAUAUAUUAAUCGCGAAAGAAGUCAUGUGUUCUUAAUAAAUAAUCGCUAAUGGCAAUUAUUUGCUGCUAAAAAUUCUUCCUCUAAUAAACUUAUUUACACUUUUAGCGUUUAAGACGCAAUGUCCAUCUUAAACUAAUAAUAUUUGGGAAAAAAAAAGGAGGAAAUAAAUUAAACUCAAUUGGGGGAUAACAAUUUUCUUUUAAUUAGUAUGUUAUAUAUACAUUAUUUCAAUUAUACUUUCGAGUUUUUGAUAUACGAAAAUAUAAUGUCAAACUUUAAGAGCAAGAAUUUACAAAAUGAGAACGACUUUUUUUUAAAAUAUAAUGUCCAAACUUUAAAUGACAAGAUUUACAAACCAUGAGACCGACCUUUUUUUUUAUUAUAACGUUUUUUUAUAUAUUAUAUAUAUACAUACACACACACAUCUAUAUCCAUAAUAUCAUUGACUCUUAUUAUAGAUAGGAAAGAGGUUUAAAAUAUAUCAUUGAAACUUUCGAAAAAAACUCAUGUUAUUCAUCAGUUUAAAAGUUUGGUCUCAUUUAUGCCAUUAACCUGUUUAAAAAGAUUCAUUUCUUGCCAUUAUUUUUUAUAAUGGUUUUCGCAAAACCAUUUUUAAUACGUGACCAAUUUAACUCGGCUACGUCCUCCCAUUUAUUUAAUUAAAAAUCAUCAUUCUAAAAAAAAUUGCAUUCAUUUUUUUUUUGAUUUUUUUAUUAAUAUUUGAUGAAUGGCAAUUGAAUUCAGUGGAUUUUCUUAAUUUGGGCGGGUCUUUUAUUUGAGUGGGGUUUUAUUUAUGUUUUUCUUCAGAAUUGAUAUCAAAAAAAAAUAAAAAAUGAUGUGGCCGAAUCAUAACUUUGUCACGUGGUGAAAAGGGUUGGGCCAAAUCGCGCCGUUAAAAACUAAUGGCAGAAAUGAGUCUUUUUCCUAAAUGGUAAUAACAUGAACGAGUUCAAACUUUUAACGGAUCACAUAAUGAAGAUCUUUUCUAAAAGUUCAACCGGCAUAUUUGAGCUUUUUCCCUUAUUUAAAAAAAGUGCUUACAUAACACUCAUUUAUUACAUAAAUAUUUCUAAAAUAUACCAUUUUUUCUAACGGGAGUGAAAAAAAUAUUUUUUUAAACAUAAUUUUUUCAUUUUUUUAAGAAAGUAAAAUCUUGAAUAUAUUAUCUUCCACUUUCUAGAAAUAUUUAUGCCUACAAGAUUUUUUUUUAUUUUUAAAAUUAAAAUUAAUAUUUUCACUUCCAUUAGAUUGAUGAAGAUAUAUCUGAAUCACUUUUUAUAAAAUGGUAAGGAUAUGUAUGAACUCUUAUUUAAUCAAAAUGUGAAUUAUUUUUAUAAUGAGCGAUAUAAAAAUUUUAAUUGCAAAGUUAUGAAGACUUUUUAUUUAGGGAAAAGGGUCUGAUAUACCCCUCAACUUUCAUUUAGAGCUGAUAUGGCCCUUGUGUGAAAGUGGCAUCAUAUAUACAUUAGCUUGUAAAACAAAUGGCUCACAUAUACCCUUUCCUCUAACGGAAAUGGAAAAAAUAAUCUUUACUAAUUUUUUAAUAAUUUUUUUGUCUAAAAAUUAUAUCCCAUAUGAGUAAAUUUAAUCCGUCGUAAAACAUAUUUUUUUUAAACCUUUUUUUAGUUUCAAAUGACUAUUUAUAAUUAUUAUUUUGGAUAAUCAAAUUUAUUUAUGUUUCACUAAUAUUCUUGUAAAGACUUAUUGUUAGAUGAACCAAUUUUUUCUUCGAUACCGAAUUAAAAUUACAAUACAGCACAAAAAAUAGUUUAAAUUUUUUCUCUUUAAACUAAGGAAUUGGAACAGAAAACAUAAGAAUAGAAAACUCAAAUAAUUAUAAUAAAAAAGUCAAAAAAUAAUUUAUAUAAUGAACAAAUAAAUAUCGCUGAACUUUUGAUAGAAGAAUCAUAUAUAUCCCUAAAUAAUUUUUUUAAAAAAUUAAGUAAUAAAUAUGCCAAUUUAAACUAAUUUUUUUAACUUCCGUUAAAUGAAGUGGUAUAUAUGAAGCCAUUUUGUAACGUGGAGGGGUAUAUGUGAGCGCAGCCGUUUGUAUACACGGUAAGGGCAAUAUAUGAAGCACUUUUAUAACGGGGGCGUAUUAUUAGCUCAAUAAACAAAGUUGAGGAGUAAUAUCAGACCUUUUUCUUUUAUUUAUUGUAUAAAAGCUUUCAUAUACUAGUUACAUAUUUAAAUAUUGAAAAUGUUGAUAAGAGAUACCCAUUAAAUGCUAAAGUAAUUGGUAUUGUUAAAAAAUUUCCUUUUAUUUUAUUGUAAUAUAUCUAACAUCCUCGUACUUCACUAACUAAGAAUAAAACUAAGAAUCAAGAAUAAUCAUUUUUUUUGGAAAUAAAUAGGAAAUUCCUGAAAAAUUUACCAGUUGUAAAAAGUGAGUUUUUGGUCAAUCUUCAAACGACCAUAACUCCCAGCUUAGGAGGACGUUUAGGUGUGAGUUCCUUAUUGGUUGGAAAUCCCUUGGAAAGAAAUUUCCAAACGCCAAGUUUGUACAUUUUAAGAUGUGCGUAUGAAGGAGAUAUGAUUUCGAAAGUUUUGGUUUGUUGGAGUGAGGAAAAUUCAAUCCGGAUUUAGUAGGAUAAAGUAGUCUUUUCACUCUAUAUUUCUAAUUCGUUUUUAAAGGGUUUUAUUAGGGGUAAAUCAAGUCCAUAUUCAGUUUUGAAACAGUUGAGAACGCUCAUGGCUUGGGAGAAAAGAGAGAGACCAAAUUUCUUCAAAGAAGCUCAGGUUUCGCUAGAGGAAUUCAUCGGGGGUGAUCUCUAUUCGAGGUAUAAUGAGUAUCUUUCUUAUGUUGGUCGUUCACCCCACACACCACUGUUUUAUUUAGACAAUUUUUGUAUUGAUUGAAUAAUGAAUCUUGAAGUUCUUGAUGAGCCAAUUGUUGAUCCUUAUUGGUAGAGUUGUAAGUGUCUUUAGUUGGUGUUGUUCGUAUUUUCAGGCUGUUUUACGAGUCUAACUAUUGGGUAAUGAGUUAGUAUUAGUGAUUGAUACGCUCAAACUUACUUUUUAAAUAAGAAGUAAGCAGUAAAUGGGGUUUCUAUCUCCUAAAUAAAUGAAAAUACUAAAGCGAAAUUAAGGGGACAACUAACCUUCGAUGUUGGAGUUUAAUCACUUAAUCAAAGUAACUAGGGUUUACGUGUUUCCCCCCACAGGUUUCAUAACUUGAUAAUUCUAAAUAUAACAUUCUUUUCUUUUCUUGUAUCUUGCAUUUGCAAGUGAUAAGUUAUGUAUUUCUAAAUCCUUGGUCGCGGCAUCUAGAAAAUUUUCACUCGGCAACCGGUUGGUCCGACUACGUGUGGUUUUCGCUAUAAUAACCCUUAUUAUUUACCUCAUAUUAAGCAUCCGUAUUCGUAUUUGACUAAGUUAUUACCCCGUACCAAUAAUAUCAGCCCUAUUACGAUAGUAUACACUAAAUUUAUUAUUGGAUAAUUUUUCUAUUUCUUCUCUCUUGGUCCGACAAGUAGCAUUAAAGCGCGAGUUCCUAACGUUGGCCAUCCGUUAAAGACUUCCAAGCGAAAGAAUUAUCAAUACAUGCAAGACACUAUUCUAGAAUUGUUAUUUUUACGUUGAUUUUACUCAUUAUUCGCCUAUGGUUCCCAACUACCCUAAUUAUGGAGUUUAGUUACCAUAAUCAUAAUCAAAUAAUUCCAAAUAUAUGAUAUAAGAAUUCAUGCACUUACUUCAAUGAGAAAGAGUUAAAGAUCAAAAGUUACGCUUGUUAUCACAAUCAAUUACAAGAAUAUAAAUAUCAGAAUCUCACAAAAAGUCCUAAAAAAUAAUCAAAGAGUCUAACAAUAAUCAAGGGCUAUACCAAUAAUCCAGAGUCUACCUCAAAAACGAGGUUUUUUCAAACUAUUUAUAAAUAAAACUAAUUACAUAAGGACUCUAUUUUGCUGGAAAUCUGUCAAACGCGGCUGGGUUCAACGGACCUCGGCGACGGAGCGUCGUGGUCACGACGGCUCCGUCAUGGAACGACGGACCGUCAGUGGAUCCGUCGUCCGCAUACCUUGAUGCAAUUUCUUAUGCUGCUCUCGCUCUUCAUUACCCUCGACGCAAGGUUGAUGGAUCGUUACAGGCACAACGAUCCGUCGAGGGUCUCCGUUCAAAACACUUGAACUCUUGGACAUAUGGGUACUGGGACUACUUCUCUGAACUUAUGCGAUGACUGCAGGACGGACCGUCAUGGAUACGACGGUGUCACGCAUUUUGUUAAACCCCACCCUUGGUCAGACUUCCCAUUUUUCGCUUCAGGCAGUGCUACGUUGGCCACCUACGGACCGUCACGAGCAUGACGGACCCGUCACAUAGGCAUGACGGAACGUCACAAGCAUGACUGGACCGUCACAGCAUGAGGACGGUCACAAGCUCCGUAGGUGGUCUCUUCUGCUAUUCUUUGCUCAAAACCUCCGCAUUCAAUUUUUGGCUAGAUUUCCUGAAAUAAGGAGAAACUUAUAUAAACAUUAGCAGCAAAAAGAAUUUUUUGGACAGCACUAACUUAAGGAAAAAAUAUUAAAUAAUACGUGAACCAUAGUAUAUCAGUGAUGCCUAAAGUUGUUUGGGAUAAAUCAUGAAUGUUUUGCAGGUUUAGGUUGAAAAUGCGGAGAAGAAAAGUCAGAAAACUCGUUGACAGGUCUUGUGGCAAUUCCGUGCUACAAGAGCCCUCAGGACAGACUCUUUCUGUCAGGCUCUGGCGCGCCGCCGUGCAGCUAGAGCGGCCUGAAGACAGUGUCUGUCGUCAGGCUCUGGUGCCCCGCGCCUCUCAGAGCGCAAGGGUCAGCCUGGUGAUUCCUUAUUCUCUCUCACCAUCUUUUCGUACGAGUUCCUAAGUGACGGUUCUAUUAUUUCUAGUUCGUUCCAAUAACUCUAAGUAAAUAUAAAACAUUAUGAAAUCAAUCCUAUAAUGAAUCAGGAUCGUGAAUUUUUGCAUAAUCCAAUCAAGGGAAGUUAAGAUCAAGUCAAAAAAGUUUAAGAGUCAAGUUAAAAGUUAUAAAAAACAGUUCAAAGUAGUUCCUAAAGCAUUCAAGAGUUUUAACAAACAUUUUACUUUGUUUUAAGGAUUCAAGCAUGAGUUGAGCAAAAGAGUAAAAGAGUUGAGUUAAAUUUUCAAAAGCUAUAAGGGAACUAGUAUUCCCUAAGAGUUAGUUUUCAAGUUAAAGCAAAUAGUAACAAGUUCGAGGUUCAGCUUCUCAAGAGUAGAAGGGAACUAAGUAGUCUCUUAACAGUUUAACAAGAAUGUUUUUCAACUUUUGAGAAGAAAGGAAGCUAAGACUUCCACAGAGCCUAUGAAUGUUUUAGUUAAAAGAAAAAGGAAACUAUGAUUUCUAAGAAAGUUUUUGAAGCAAAGUUUGAGAAAUUCAUCUCAAACUAGCAGAAGCAAGUUGUUUUAAAAAAACAUAUGAGCUAAGUAUUUUGGGAGUAGUAUUGAGCACGAUAUGGUGAGCGCGAGUUCAUAUUAACGUCAAGUCUCCAUAAACCAUUGAGCAACAUGGGAUAUAAAAGAUAUACUUUUAGAUGAUUCGCUUAGUAUUUUAGCAUAGAUAGUGUGAUCCUCUUAGUAGUUUCAAGGUUCUAUACGACGACAAGGUAUAGAGUGGUCCUCUUGCAACAUGAGGUAAUACGUUUGUAACCAUCACUUAGCUCAUACGAUGGUUGUCCGUUAGAUAAAUCUCUCAAAGAAAUUAUAAUACUUUCAAAUUAUAUGAGUAAAGUUGAGUUUUUUAUUGAUUUAUCUUUAAUGACUAAGUGUUUACCUGUUUUUUCAAGCUUUUCUUUUAAUAUCGCCAUGUGAUCCUAUACUGGCUUUAUAUUGAGUCGUUAUUAAUUGAAGUUGAGCAGGAACCAGGUAAGUUGCUUCCUUACUCCUUUCAAGCCUUAUAGUAGUGUUUAGGUAUUGCCAUUACGCAUACAUCGUUUGGCUGCAUGCAUAGUCUUUAAUGCCAGAAGCAGGGUAAUUAGGAUCAACAUGCAGCACUCUUGUUGAACCAGUUUGAGGCUCUAGAGUCAAGUGGUCGAGCCUCAUGCAUUCGGAGGAUCCUUUUUAUUGCUAUCUAGUUAGUUCAAUAGAUGUUGUGGGGUUUGUCCCAACAUUCAUCUCAGUCAGUUAGAGGGUUUCAUAUGACGGAUAGUAGUAGUUAGUUGUUCUCUUUUAUUUCAGAUUCUAUUAUUUGAGACUUAGUGCAAAUUUUGGCCAAGGACAGUAUUUAAAGUCAUUUUUAUGAGAGUUCUUGCAUUCUAUAGACUGAAUUAAGUUGAGUCUUCUGUGAGUUAAGUAGUCAGACCACGAGUUCCCUUGAGGGCGCAGCAUGGUCACCAGUGCUAGUCCAACCCAGGGUAUAAAUGCUCGGAGCAUGCUAAUAUAUGCAUUUUUCAUAUACGACUUACGUAUUCAGAUACUUUUAACAUUUUGUUUAGAGCAGAAGAGUCUUAACUUAUUAUGCUAGGUGAAGUAUUGAUAUAUUGGGAUAUUGGUACUUAUUAUUAUGUUUACUUUAAUCUUAUUUAUAAGUUACAACACACGUAAGCACACACAAGGUGCUCAACAUGUGUGCUUGAAGUAAAAUUAAUUUUGAAUGAGGUUUAAUUUGGUCUUUUAUAUAAUACUCAAUGAUUUUCGCUUUUUUACCAACUUUUAAAACACACUUGUAAAAAUGCAAAAUUGCUUUUAUGGACAUCAAAUGACCAAAAACCGCGCGAGUAUCCUUUAACCUCAUUGUAUAUGUUAUAGAACAUUGCAAUUGGUUGAAACUGAACUUUAAAUGUAAGUUGCAAUUUAUUAUUUUUCUUCUUGUCUAAAACUGCCCUAUGCGGCUUAAGCUUUAUUUUUAUCAACUAUUUGUUUAUUAGUGGAGAAAUAGCUCUUUAGAUGAGUCCUUUUAAGCGGUACCGCGAGCUAGGAUAUUAAUAUAUGUCUUUUCGUUUUAUUUUAUGUCAUUUGUUACUAAAAAUAGGUAAUAUUAAUAUUUAUCAUUUCACAAGUAAUGGUAAUCAUUAUAUAGUAAUGAAAUCGACGUCUCUGAACUCUGUGACGGACGUCAGGUACGACGAACGUCGUGAGCCCGUUUCAAAACACUUCAACUCUUGAGAAUUUUGGUACAGGGAACGAUUCUCCUGAAACGUCAUGACGGAGGUGCAGGACGGACCGUCGAGGUCGAUGGCCGUCACAGAUCCUUAAGUGAAUCGAAGUCCUUUGACGAACCUGCAUGACGGCCGUCGCAGGCACGACGGGCCCGUGCGCAGGUUGGCAUCAGUCUAAGGUCAGAUUUCUUUACACAUUUUAAGGGACGUUUUUGACUAUUCCUUCUUUAAUUUAAAGUUAGUGGUUAAUGUUAAUUAAGUUAAUUACUUGGGUUGGUUAAAGGGUUAAACCUCAAGUUUAAAUUAGUGGGUUAUUAUUGCAUCUUUCAUUCUUAAUUAUAUACUAAUUGGUAAAAGAAAGGGGUUUUGAAUAAAGAAAAUAGAAGAACACAUAAGAGGAGGGGAGAUAUCGAACGAGAAGGGAUAAAAGAAGAGGAGAACACAAAGCUUGGGAAAUUGGCUUGCUUGGAUUUCUUGUUUCGGUGGAGGUAGGUUUUGGUUUUCAUGGCCUAUUCGUAGUAAACUUUAAUAGCGAAUGAUUGUGUUAGUAGUAUUGUAAACCCUUCUAAUUGCUUAAUUGUAAUGCUUGCCAUGAAUGAUGUGAUUAUCGGAAUUAUUGAAUAAAUAAGCAUGAUGAAGUUAUGGAAUCCGCAAUCUUGAAAAGAACCCUAAUUACUUUGUUAUGAUGAUGCCUGGUAAUAAAAGAAGGCUUGAUGAAGCGAAAGGGGUGAGAACAUAAAUCAAAUGGAGUGAGCUCAAAUUUAGUGAAUUUUUUUUUAAAAAAUAUUUUGUUGUUUAACAAUUUUUAAAAUGAAAAUGCUAAACCUUUUUCACAAUUAUGUUUUAUAGUUUUUUUAUCAAUAUCUAGUCGAUGAUAACCAUAAUUUUAAUAUAAAUAAUAUAAUAAGGUAACUUAAUUCUGAAAUUCAAGUAUUGAUAUUUUUGAGAAAAUAUUUAUUUAUAAAUUGUAAAACAUUCAUAAUCUAAUAUUUAAUAUGUUUCUUACUCUCAACGAAUGACACUAAUUCAUCAUGAUUCAAAAUUGUAAGAAGUAAAAAUCAAUACUAAAAAGUGCAACUCAUUAUUAUAUGAAGUUUAAUAUGUAGUUUAUCUAUUGUCGAAAGUUUUCCAAGUAUAUGAUAUAUAAUUCUAUGAUAAAUUAAUUUUUGAUCCCAUAUAUUUAUACUAUUUUCAAAUUUAUCCCGUUAAUUGAUUAUAUAUUUUCUUAAACUACAAUUACGCGAUCAUUAUUUAUCAAUUCUACUUUAUCAACUUUAUAUUCUUCUUUUUAUAUCUUUAGAAUUGUGCUAUUUUUGUUUUCUUAUUUAAGUUACAAUUUUAAAGAUAAAAUAAAUAUUUUUGGAGAUAAAAUAAGUUAAAUAAAAAACUAUAUGAAUACUUAUGUUGAAAAAAAAUAUAUAUAAUUAAAAAAUUGUCCUAUUUUUAUUUUCUUAUUUAAGUCACAAUUUUUAAAGAUAAGAUAAAUAUUAUUUUGAGAUAAAAUAAGUUAAAUAAAACUAUAUGAAUACUUUUGUUUAGAAACAUUAUAUAUAAUUAAAAAAAUUACAUAUAUGAAAGAUUUUAUAAAUUAUACUGGUUAUGUUGUAGUAGUAAUAAACAUAGAUGAACAAUUUGUAUUGUCAAGAGUAUAAAAAUAAAAAUAUUUUUCACAUUAUUAUUAUAUCAAACAAAUACAAAUUGAUUUUCAAAAAGAAUAAUAAAAUGUAUUUGUGGGUCACACAUGAAACAAAAAUAUGUGAUUCUUGAAAAAAAAAUAAUAGAUUCUUCUAGAAAACUAUUUUGACAAUUAAUUAUACAAUUAUAAAUUUAAAACUUAACCCAUAAAAAUAAUUAAAAUUACAAAAUUGUCAUUGAUUGGCCUCAUCAUGACUCUUAUGUAUAAUAGAAACUAGAUAAUUGAAGGCCCGUUCAUGGGCUCAAUAUAAUUAAUUAUUUUUUUCAAUUUUAAGUUAAAAAAAUUAUCCAAAUUAAUAUCUUAUUUUAUCAUAGUUUCUAAAAUUUUCUACUAUUUAAACAAUUACAAAAAUGUCCUCUAAGAUACAUUCUUAUCCUCUGUCGGACACAUCAGUAUCUCCUCUCGAAUACAUUCCUAUCAUUUCUUGAAUACAUCUUUAUCUCAUCCUGAAACAUCCAUAUCCUCUCUGGGAUACAUCUCUCCCCUUUCGGAUACAUUCAUUCUCUCUCGAAUACAUCCCUACCUUCUCGAAAUCAUCGUGAGCUCUAUGUCUGCAAGUUUCCUCAAUAGCAAUGUAUCACGAUCGAUGUAUCCGCAUGUGUUGAUUUAUCUGAAAUUAUUUAAUUUUAAAAAGAUUUCGUAAUUUGAAAAAAGUAGGAAUAUAAUGUAAUUAACUCUUUACUCUAUGACAUAUUUUUCUUUGUAGUCAGUUUCAAAAGAAUGAUGUAUAACAUAUUUAAAUAACAUUUUGACUUUAAAAUAUUCAUUCUAUUCUUAGUAAUAUUAUUUAUAGUCAUAUGAACAUCUAUGGUUUGUUUUAGACCAUGAGUUUUAGAAGUGUUUUUUCUUUUAAAAAUUUUCGUGUUAAGUUAAAUUAAAAUUCCAUAAACCGAAAGGGAGUGAGUACAAACUUUAGAUCAAUUUUAUAUUUAUAAAAUUAAAGUUUUUGUAACUAUUUUGUCUUUUAACAAAAUUUAAAAUGAAAUAAUUCACAAUUAUUUUUAUAGUAUUUUUUUAAAAUCAAUAUUCUAUCAAUAAUAAUAAAUUUUUUUUAAUUUAAAUAAGAUAAUAAAGUAUUUUAAUUUUGAAAUUCAUGUAUUGAUAUCAAUUGAGAAAAUAUUUAAUUUUAAGUUGUAAAACAUUCAUAAUCUAAUAUUUAAUGUGCUCCUUACUCUCGAUGAAUGACACUAAUUUAUAAUAAUUCAAGAUUGCAAGAAGUAGAAAUCGAGACUAAAACGUGCAACUCACUAUUAUAUGAAGGUCACUAUGUAAUUUAUCUAUUGUGGAAGUCUCAUUAGUAUAUGAUAGAUAAUUCUAUGCCAAAUUAAUUUUUGUUUUCAUAUAUUUAUACAAUUUCAAAAUUUAUCCCGUUAAUUGGUUAUGUAUUUUAUUAAACUACAACUGCACUCAUUAUUUCAUCUUUUUUUUUUAUUCUUACAUUAUCAACUCUAUUUUUUUAUCUCUUUAGAAUUGUGAUACUUUUGUUUUCUUAUUUAAAUCACAAUGUUUUAAAGAUAAAACAAAUUUUAUUUUGGAGAUUAAAUAAAUAUUAUUUUGAAGAUAAAAUAAAAAAAAGAUUUACUAACCUACAACCAGGAAGAUCCACUUUGAAACCCAGCGACGAAGAAAACUUUGAAACUCUUAGCCGCGAAAUGAGGGUGAAAGAGUAAAAUCAUUUCUGGAAAAUAAUGAAACGAGGGGGAAAAAAGCGUAAUAAAGAUUUAAGGAAUUAGUCUAUGUGGUAGUGGACCCUAUUGACAUGCAAUAUGGAAUUCACAUAGCAUUUAACAACUUCUCUUAAUUAGAAGGGCAAUUUUGACCCAAUAGUUUCACGGAAAGGGUACUUUUGAGCCGAAAUAUACUUUAAGGGUAAAUAUGAGUUAUUUCAGAUAGUUUAAAAGUAUUUUUUACCCUUUUACUUUUAGUCUACGUGGUAGUGGAACCCUAUUGACGUGCAAUGUGAUGGCAUUUAACAACUUCCAUUAAUAAGAAUUGCACUUUUGACACAAUAGUUUGACGGGGAGGAGAGUUUUGAGCGGAAAUAUAAUUUAAGGUAAAUAUGAAAUAUUUCAGAUAGUUUAAGGAUAUCUUUGACCCUUUUAUGUUAAAACUAUAUGAAUACUUAUGUCUAAAAAACAUUGUAUAAAAUUAAAAGGAAAUUAAAUCAUGGAAGAUGGUAGGUUAUACUGAAUAUGUUGUAGUAACAACAAACAUAUAUAAACUAUUAAGUUGUAUAAAUAUUUUUUAUUUAUUAUAAUCAAACAAAUAAAAGUUAAUUUUUAAAAAUUAAAUAAAAUGAUUACAUGGAGUCACCAUGAAACAAAACUUUUUGUGACUCUUGAAAAAGAUUAUUGGAUACUUCUAGAAAAUUAUUUUGACCACUGAUUAUGCAAUUAUAAAGUUGUAAUUUUGCCCAUAAAUAAUGUUUAAAAUUACAAUAUUGUCAUUGGUCAUCCUAAUCAUGACUCUUCUAUAUAAUAGAAAUAAUAAUAACUAGAUAUCAGGUGCCCGUGCUAACGCAAACGCAACGUAUGUUAGAUUUUUCUUCUUCCAAUUUAUGUGACAAAAAUGAAAUUUGAAAAAAAUGAACUAAAUUUUUUAUAUGUGUUUUUUUUAAAAAUAUUUUAAAUUAUUAAUUUAUGUAUCUUUUUUGUCAUUUUCGAAUAAUAUAUGUUACUUUAUCUAUUUUAUUUUAUAUGAUACAAGUGAUUUUAGGAAAGUAAACGAAAUUUCUUAUAUGAUUUUCAUAUAUUUUUAGUUGUCAUUUUACUGCGAUUCAUAGUACUUUUUAGUUAUUACGUUAUUUUCAAACAAUAUAUGCAACUUUUUUUUUGUUUCAAUAAAAAUAAGGGAGUCAACAAAAUUUCAUUAUGUUUUUUCAACUACAUUUUUCUAAAAAUAUUUUAAAUUGUUACAUUGCUUUUUAAAGUUUUUUUAAAUGUAACUUUCAAAUAUGUAACAAAUUAGAAAUUAAAACGAAGAAUUAAAGUUUUCAAAUCAUUAUAUUUCUAUAUUAGAAUAUUAAAACCUUUAAAACUACAUAUAUAUGCAUAAAUUAGUAGAAGGAAGCCUAACAACUUAUUUUUAAAAAAAUAUAUGAGAGCUCAUUUUAAUAGUAAUACAUACAUAUUUCAUUUUUCAAUAUCCGAAUCCCUCCUUUUCGAUUUAUAUAAAUUUAAUUUAAUUUAAUUUUUAUUUUGUUUCAAAAAGAAAAUAACUUCUGAAUUUUAUUUGUUUAUAAAGCAUAUUUAAGAUCACAAAAUCAAAAAAAAAUUUCAAUUCACAAAAUUUAAAUAUACAUAUAAAUUUUAAUUUUAAUUUUGAUUGGUUCCACCUAAUAUUAUACUUGAUAUAUAAUUAUUAAGAGCUAAGCGUAAUCAUUAUCUAUUUACUUUCGUAUAAUAAAUAGAUAUCACAAUAACUCUUAAAAAAUGAAGAAAUAACGAAAAUGAGGUAAUACUAAUAAUAAUCACUAAAGAUUUUCUAGAACUAGUUAAAUUUCUUGUUAUCAAUCGUGUUAGUUUUUUGCUUGCAUAAAUUACAUUUUUACCUUCGAUCAUCAUUCACUUCAUAUAUAGAAAGAUGUUUCUAGAAUUAUUUAUUCUUGAUAAAUUUUUGUUAGAAUGAAAUUACAUUUUAUUCUUAGUCGUCUUUAAUACAAAGUAUCAUCCUAUUCAUUUUUUAUUUGUCAAGUUACUUUUUAAGAUCUUUUUCUUUAAUUUCAGUCUAAUAUAUAUUAUUAAUUUAUCACACUUAUUUAUUUUCAAGUAUAUUAUUAGAGUCAAAAUAAAGAUGAAAAUAAUUAAUUCAUGAUAACUUUUUAUAUAAAAAGUAGGCAUAUAUUAUAAGCAUAAUGAAUAGAAAAAAAUAUUAAGAAUUAAUUUAAAGUAAUAGUAAAGUAGAGUAAUUAUAAAAUAGAUAUCACAAUAACUCACAAAAGAAAAGAAAGUGAAGUGAUAACAAAAUAAGUUAAUGGUAAUAAUAAUAACUUAAAAUAUUUCUAGAACUAUUAUUUUUAUUUUUUUUUGUUAUCAUUCUUCAUAGAUUUUUGUUAGCAUGAAAUUAUAUUUUUGCUGUAACGACCUAUUUAGUCGUUUGGAGCAGCAGAGUUAAUUUCUGAAAAUCACUGUCUGGGUCGACGGAUCCCACGACAGACCGUCAUGGGCACGACGGACCGUCGAGGGUGUCUCGUGCCAAAACACUUAGAAUUUAGAAAUUUGGGUACUGAGAUCGACUCUCUGAACUUCACGACGAAAUGGCAGGACGGACCGUUGAGGGCUCGACGGACCGUCACAAAUCCUUCCGCAGAAUUAACUCUCUGAACCUUGUGACGGACGUGCAGGACGGACCGUCACAGGCUGCGUGACCCUGACUGGGUCGGAUUUCUGUUAAAUAUUUUAAGGGGCGUUUUGGACUAUUCCUACUUAUAAUUAUAAAGUUAGUGGUUUAAUGUUAAUAAUUUAAUUACUUGGGGGUUAAAAGAGAGAACCUUGAAACAAAUAGUGGGAUAUUUUAUCAUCUUUUAUACUUAAUUAUAUGCUAAUUAGGGUAAAAGAAAGAGGGUUUGAAUAAGAAAAAGAAAAAGAACAGAGAGAGAGGGAGAAACGAUCGAUUGAGAGAGAAGAAGAACGCAGCUUUGGGAAAGUAGAUUGCUUGAUCACAAUCCUUCGGUGGAGGUAGGUUAUGGUUUAUGCUAUUCGUAGUAAACUCUUAAUAGCGAAUGAUAUGUAUUGGGUAGUGUUGUAAACCCUUCUAUAUGCUUAAUUGUAUGCUUGCAUGAAUGUGAUUAUAUAAUUGUGAUAAAAUAAGCAUGAUGAAGCUAUUGAAUCCUAAAUCUUGAAAAUCCUAAUCUACUUUGUUAAUGAUGAUGCCUUGGUAUAAAAGAAGGCUUGAUGAACGAAAGUAGUAAGAUUAGGGGAUCGGAGUGUCACGUUCCGACACCAGGAUAGUAUAUGGAUCGGGUGCCACGUUCCGGUACCAGGAUAGUAUAUGAGGAUCGGAGUGUCACGUUCCGACACCAGGAUAGUAUAUGGAUCGGGUGCCACGUUCCGGUACCAGGAUAGUAUAUGAGGAUCGGAGUGCCACGUUCCGGUACAAGGAUAGUAUAUGAGGAUCGGAGUGUCACGUUCCGACACCAGGAUAGUAUAUGGAUCGGGUGCCACGUUCCGGUACCAGGAUAGUAUGAUGAGGAUCGGAGUGUCACGUUCGGACACCAGGAUAGUAUAUGGAUCGGGGUGUCACGUACCGACACGAGAGAAAUAAAGAUAAUGAAUCUUGAAAGAUGUUAAUAUACUCAAUUUAAUGAACCUAAUUCCCAAAUGAGUAUGAUGGGGAGGCGUGAGUCCUCAUUGAUGUGCUUGGUGUUGUGACCAAGAGUUAUGAUAAUUAUAAAUGCCGCAUGUUGAGUAUUGUAGUUGAUUUUAUGAUAUAUAUCAUAUUAUCUGAUAUAUACUAUUUUCUAUUUUGAGUUGGCCGAUGAUAUCUACUCAGUACUCGUGUUUUGUACUGACCCCUACUUGUAAUUGUUUUUCUUUGUUAUUUGUGGAGUGCAGCAAACGUACCGUCGUCUUCAACUCAACCGCAACUCUAGCCAGUCUUCAUUACACCGGAUUUCAGGGUGAGCUAACGCUUCUAGCUUGGACUGGAUCUUCUUCUUCAUGUCUUGAUGCCUUGAAGUUCCGGCAUGGACUAGCUUUUUAUUUAUUCUAGCUUUCUAGAUACUCUUAGAAUUAGUAAUUUAAGGAUAGAUGUUCUUGUGAUGAUGACUUCCAGAUUUUGGGAAUAAUAAGUAUUGAGUUUUUAGAAGUUAUUUAACCGAUUUUCAUUAAUGAGUUUAAGUCUUCCGCAUUAUAUUCUGUUUAUUAUGGUUCAAAUGUUGGGGUUUAGAUUGGUUGGUUCGCUCACAUAGGAGGGUAAGUGUGGGUGCCACUCGCGGCCCGCUUUGGGUCGUGACAUUUGCCCUUGAUUAUUAUUUACUUCAUAUAUAGAAAGAUGUUUCUAGUAUUAUCAAUUAUCUUGCUUAAUAGAUUUUUGUUAGCGUGAAAUUACAUUUUUGCCCUUAAUCGUCCUCCCACUUCACUCUUCUAUAUAAUUGAAUAGAAAUACAUUAUAUAAAAUAAAUAUUUAUAAAUGAUUAUAAGUUUUCUAUAUCCUUUUUAUAGUGAUUAAUUUACAAUAGGUAAAUGGAUAUGUAUGGGUAAUAAAAUAUAUAUGAGAAUAGUAAUUUAAUUGUGAUAUAUGGCAAAUUCAUCAAAUAGUCAGUCUCUAAUAAUUUAUAUAUUAGUAGUGAAGUAUAAUGUUAAAUUUUAAACGAGGAUUUACAUAACGUGAGAAAGACUUCUUUUCUUUUUUAUUUUCUCAAGAGAUUUUUACAUUUUAAAAUUAGUUUAUAACUUAACAUUAAAUUACUUUAUAUGUAUUUUACUUAUUCAAACUCUCACAUAAUUACUUGUACAUUUGUUUAUUUAUGGUCUUCAUAUAUAACCCCUAGUAUAGCCUUGCUAAACUAAAUUUUGAAAAUUAUUACUAGUAAGGUGUUUGUUUCCUCACCUCAUAUAUUUACAUCAUAUGCAUAAAAAUUAUGUAAAAUGAAUAACAUAUUUUUUUAUUUAUUUUUAAAGAGACUAGUUAUUUGGGGCCGCUAAAGCCUACUUCAAAAUUAGCAAAUCAAAAGAAAGGAAGUGUACCUAUCAACCAAGUAAAAAUGUCAACUACUUCUAAAAAGUUUGGACAAUUUUUAAGACUAUGAAAAUAUAGAGACAUAGUAAAAUAUUGCGUGAAUCACUUAAUAAAAUCGAAAACAUAAUAUAUUGGAGAUAGUUUUACUAAAAAUAAUUUUACAAUAAAAUUGAAAUGUGUACAUAUUUAUUGAAUUGUGGGUAUAGAGACAAUUUUUAAGCUUUUUUCUGAUUUACAUAUAUUAAAUCGCGAAAGAAGUCAUGUGUUCUUAAUAAAAUAAUCGCUAAUGGCAAUUAUAUUUGCUGCUAAAAUUCUUCCUCUAAAUAACUUAAUUUACACUUUUAGCGUUUAAGACGCAAUGUCCAUCUUAAACUAAUAAAUAUGAGAAAUAAAUAAACUCAAUUGGGGGAUAACAAUUUCUUAAUUAGUAUGUUAUAUAUACAUUAUUUCAAUUAUACUUUCGAGUUUUGAUAUUACGAAAAUAUAAUGUCAAACUUUAAAGACAAGAAUUUACAAAUGAGAACGACUUUUUUUUAAAAAUAUAAUGUCAAACUUUAAAGACAAGAAUUUACAAACCAUGAGAACGACUUUUUUUUAAUUAUACGUUUUAUUAUAUAUAUAUAUAUAUAUAUACAUACACACACACAUAUAUAUACAUAUAUCAUUGACUCUAUAUAUAUAAGAUAGGAAAGAGGUUAAAAUAUAUCAUUGAACUUUCAGAAAAAAACUCAUUUAUUCAUCAGUUAAAAGUUUGGCUCAUUUAUGCCAUUACCGUUUAAAAAAGAUUCAUUCUUGCCAUUAUUUUUUAAUAAUGGUUUCGCAAAACCAUUUUUAAUACGUGACCAAUUAUAAUUCGGCUACGUCCUCAAUUUAUUUAAUUAAAAAAUCAUCAUUCUAAAAAAAAUUGAAUUCAUUUUUUUUGAUUUUUUUAUUAAAUAAAUUGAUGACAUGGCUAAUUAGAAUUCAGUGGGAUUUCUUAAAUUUGGGCGGGUCUUUAUUUGAGUGGGGUUUUUAUUUAAUGUUUUCUCAGAAUUGAUUUUUUAUCAAAAAAAAAUAAAAAUGAUGUGGCCGAAUCAUAACUUGUCACGUGUGAAAAGUGGUUGGGCAAAAUCGCCGUUAAAAACUAAUGGCAUGAAUGAGUCUUUUCCUAAAUGGUAAUAACAUGAACGAGUCAAACUUUUAACGGAUGACAUAAAUGAGUCUUUUCUAAAAGUUCAACGGCAUAUUUGAGCUUUUUCACUUAUUAAAAAAGUGGCUUACAUACACUCAUAUUAUUACAUAAAUAUUCUAAAAUAUACCAUUUUGUUCUAACGGGAGUGAAAACAAAUAUUUUUUUAAACAUAAUUUUUUAUUUUUAAGAAGUAAAAUCUGAAUAUAUUAUCUUCCACUUUCCUAGAAAAUAUUAUCCUACAAGAUUUUUUAUUUUUAAAAAUUAAAAUUAAUAUUUUCACUUCCAUUAGAUGAUGAAGAUAUACCUGAAUCACUUUUAUAAUGGUAAGGAUAUGUAUGAACUCUUUUAAUUCAAAUGUGAAUUAUUUUAUAAUGAGCGAUAUAACAAUUUUAAAUUGCAAAGUUAUGAAGACCUUUUUAUUUAGGGAAAAGGGUCUGAUAUACCCCUCAACUUUGUCAUUUAGAGCUGAUAUGCCCCUUGUUGUGAAAGUGGCUCAUAUAUACCCUUACUUGUAAACAAAUGGCUCACAUAUACCCUUUUCCUCUAACGGAAAUGGAAAAAAAAAUAAUUUUAAUCUAAUUUUUUAAUAUUUUUUGUCUAAAAAUUAUAAUCCCAUAUGAGUAAAUUUAAUCCUCGUAAAACAUAUUUUUUUAACCUUUUUUAGUUUCAAUGACUAAUUUAUAAUUAUUAUUUUGAUAAUCAAAUUUAUUUAUGUUUCACUAAUAUUCUUGUAAAACUUAUUGUAGAUAACCAAAUUUUUUCUUCGAAUAUGAAAUUAAAUUACAAUACACACAAAAAAUAGUUUAAAUUUUUUCUCUUUAAACUAAGGAUUGAAAGAAAAAACAUAAGAAUAAGAAACUCAAAUAAUUAUAAUAAAAAAAGUCAAAAAAUAAUUUAUAUAUGAAAAAAAUCAAAAUAUACCUUGAACUUUGAUAGAAGAAUCAUAUAUAUCCCUAAAUAAUUUUUUAAAAAAAAUUACAAGUAAUAAAUAUCAAUUUAAAACUAAUUUUUUAACUUCCGUUAAAUGAAGGGUAUAUAUGAGCCAUUUUGUAACGGGAGGGGUAUAUGUGAGCCGUUUGUAUAACGGUAAGGGCAUAUAUGAGCCACUUUUAUAACGGGGGGUAUAUUAGCUCCAAAUAACAAAGUUGAGGGGUAUAUCAGACUCUUUUUCCUUUUAUUUAUUGUAUAAAAGCAUUUCAUAUACUAGUUACAUAUUUAAAUAUUGAAAAUGUUGAUAAGAGAUCCCAUUAAAUGCUAAAGUAUUGGUAUUUUAAAAAAAUUUCCUUUUAUUUAUUGUAUAUAUCUAACAUCUCGUAACUUCAAAUAACUAAGAAUAAACUAAGAAAUCAAGAAUAAUCAUUUUUGGAAAUAAAUAGGAAAUCUGAAAAAUUUCCCAAGUGUAAAAGUGAGUUUUUGGUCAAUUUCAAACGACCAUAACUCCCAGCUUAGGAGGAGUUAGUGUGAGUUCCUUAUAUGGUUGGAAAUCCCUUGGAAAGAAAUUUCCAACAACGCCAAGUUUGUACAUUUUAGAUGUCGUAUGAAGGAGAUAUGACUUUCGAAAGUUUGGUUGUUGGAGUGAGGAAAAUUCAAUCCGGAUUUAGUAAGGAUAAAGUAGUCUUUUCACCCUAGUAUUUUCUAAUUCGUUUUAAGGGUUUAUUAGGGGUAAAAUCAAGUCCAUAUUCAGUUUUGAAAAAGUUGAGAACGCUCAUGGCUUGGGAGAAAAGAGAAGAGAAGAGAAGAGAAAACCAAAAUUUCUUCAAGAACGCUAAGGUUUCGCUAGAGGAAUUCAUCGGGGGUGAUCUCUAUCGAGGUAUAUGAGAUCUUUCUAUGUUGGGUUCGUUCACCCACACACCAACAUGUUUAUUUAGCAAUUUUUGUAUUGAUUGAAUAAUGAAUCUUGAAGUUCUUGAUGAGCAAUUGUUGAAUCCUUAUUGGUAGAGUUGUAGUGUACCUUUAGUUGGUGUUGAUUCGUAUUUUCAGGCUGUUUUACGAGUCUAAACUAUUGGGUAUUGAGUAUAUUAGUGAUUGAUACGCUCAAACUUACUUUUUAAAUAAGAAGUAAAGCAGUAAAUGGGGGUUUCUAUUCCUAAAUAAAUGAAAAUAACUAGCGAAAUUAAAGGAGACAACUAACAACUUCGAAUGUUGGAGUUUAAUCACUUAAUCAAAGUAACUAGGGUUUACGUGUUCCCCACAGGUUCAUAACUUGAUAAUUCUAACUAUAACAAUUCUUUCCUAGUAUCUUGCAUGCAAAGUGAUAAGUUAUGUAUUUCUAAAUCCUUGGUCCGGCAUCUAGAAAAUUUCACUCGGCACCUUGGUCCGACUACGUGUGUUGCUAUACUAACCCUUAUAUUUACCUCAUAUUAAGCAUCGUAUUCGAUAUUUGACUAAGUUAUUACCCCGUACCAAUCAAUACUAGCCUAUUAGAUAGUAUACACUAAAUUUAUAUUGAUAAUUCUUUUCCUAUUAUCUACCUCCUUGGUCCGACAAGUAGCAUUAAGGCGAGUUCUAACGUUGGCCAUCCGUUAAAAAGACUUCCAAGCGAAAGAAUUAUCAAUACAUGCAAGACACUAUUCUAGAAUUGUUAUUUUAGUUAGAUUUUACCUCAUUAUUCGCCUAUGGUUCCCACAACCCUAAUUAUGGAGUUUAGUUACCCAUAAUCAUAAUCACAAUAUUCAAAUAUAUGAUAUAAGAAUUCAUGCACUUACUUCAAUGAGAAAGAGUAAAAUCCAAAAGUUAGCUUGAUUAAUCAACAAUCAAUUACAAGAAUAUCAAAAUAAUCAAGAAUCUCACAAAAAGUCUAAAAAAUAAUCAAGAGUCUAACAAUAAUCAAGGGCCUAACCAAAUAAUCCAGAGUCUAACCUCAAAAACGAGGUUUUUCAAACUAUUUAUAAAAAAUAAAAACCUAAUUACAUAAGGACUCUAUUUGCUGGAAAUCUGUCAAAACGCGGCUGGGUCAACGGACCUCGCGACGCAUCGUCGUGGUCACGACGGACCGUCAUGGACUCCGUCGUCCCAUACUUGAUGCAAUUUCUUAUGCUGCUCUCUUCAUUACUCUCGACAGCAGGUAUGAUGGAUCGUUACAGGCACAACGAUCCGUCGAGGGUCUCCGUUCCAAAACACUUGAACUCUUGGAAUAUGGGUACUGGGACUACUUCUCUGAACUUCAUGACGAACCUGCAGGACGGACCGUCAUGGAUACGACGGUCCGUCACGCAUUUUGUAACCCCACACUUGGUCAGACUUCCCCAUUUUCCUUCAGCAGCUGCACUACGUUGCCACCUACGGACCGUCACGAGCAUGACGGACCGUCACAAGCAUGACGGACCGUCACAAGCAUGACGGACCGUCACAAGCUCCGUAGGUGGUCUCUUCUGCAUUUCUUUGCUCAAAAACCUCCGCAUUCAUCUUUGGAUAGAUUUCCUGCAAAUAAGGAGAAACUUAUAUAAAAAUUAGCACAAAAAGAUUUUGGACACACUAACUUAAGGAAAAAAUAUUAAUAAUACCGUGACACCAUAGUAUAUCAGUGAUCCUAAGUGUUUGGGAAAAAUCCAUGAAUGUUUUGAAGGUUUAGAGUUGAAAAUCGGAGAAGAAAAGUCAGAAAACUCGUCUGACAGGUCUUGUGGCACCGUGCCUACAAGAGCCCCUCAGGACAGACUCUUUCUGUCAGGCUCUGGCGCGCCGCCGUGCCAGCUAGAGCGCCUGAAGACAGUGUCUGUCGGUCAGGCGCUGGUGCCCCGCGCCUCUCAGAGCGCCAGGGUCACCUGGAGAUUCUAUUUCUCUCCCAUCUUUUAGUACGAGUUCCUAAGUGACGUAUCUAUUAUUUCUAGUUAGUUCCAAUACUCUAAAGUAAAUAUAAACAUUAUGAAAUCAUCCAUAAUAAUGAGAUCAGGAUCCGUGAAUGCAUAAUCCAAUUCAAGGGAAGUUAAGAUCAAAGUCAAAAAAAGUUAAGAGUCAAGUCUAAAAGUUAAAAAACAAGUCAAAGUAAGUUCCUAAAGCAUUCAAGAGUCUUAAACAAACAUUUUAACUUUGUUUUAAGGUUCAAGCAAUGAGUUGAGCAAAGAGUAAAAGAGUUGAGUUAAAUUUUCAAAAGCUAUAAGGGAACUAAGUAUUCCCUAAGAGUUAAGUUUCAAGUUAAGCAAAUAGUAACAAGUUGAGUUCACUUCUCAAGAGUUAGAAGGGAACUAAGUAGUCUCUAACAGUUUAAACAAGAUGUUUUUAAACUUUUGAGAAAGAAAGGAAGCUAGACUUCCACAGAGCCUAUGACUAGUUUUAGUAAAAGAAAAAGGAAACUAUGAUUUCUAAGAAAGUUUUUGAAGCAAAGUUUGAGAAAUUAUCUCAAACUAGAGAAGAAGUUGUUUUAAAAAAACAUAUGAGCUAAGUAUUUUGGGAGUAGUAUUGAGCACCGAUAUGGUGACGCGAGUUCAUAUUAACUCAAGUCUCCAUAAACCAUUGAGCCAACAUGGAGAUAUAAAAGAUCAUACUUUUUAGAUGAUUCCUUAGUAAUUUUAGCAUAGACUAGUGAAUCCUCUUAGUAGUUCAGGUUCUAUAUCGACGACAAGGUAUAGAGUGGUCCUCUUGCAACAUGAGGUAAUACGUUGUACCAUCACUUAGGCUCAUAGAUGGUUGUCGGUUAGAUAAUCUCUCAAAGAAAUUAUAAUACUUUCAAAUAUAUGAGUAAAGUUGAGUUUAUUAUUGAUUUAUCUUUAAUGAACUAAGUGUUUACACUGUUUUACAAGCUUUUCUUAUAUCGCAUGUGUCCUUACUGCUUUAUAUUGAGUCGUUAUUUCAUGAGUUGAGCAGAACCAAGGUAAGUUCUUCCUUACUCCUUUCAAGCCUUAUAGUAGUGUUUAGUAUUCCAAUUCGCAUACUCGUUUGGCCUGCAUGCAUCGCCUUAUAAUGCAGAAGCAGGUAAUUAGGAUCAACAUGCAGCACUUUGUUGAACCAGUUUGAGCUCUAGAGUCAGUGGUGAGCCUCCAUGCAUUUCGGAGGAUCCUUUUAUUGCUAUCUAGUUAGUUCAAUAGAAUGUUGUGGGGUUUGUCCCAACAUUCAUCUCAGUCAGUUUAGAGGUUUCAUAGACGGAUAGUAGUAGUUAAGUUGUGUCUCUUUAUUUCAGAUUCUAUAUUUGAGACUUAAGUGCAAAUUUGGCCAAGACAGUAUUUAAAGUCAUUUUUAUGAGAACUUCUUCAAUUCUAUAACUGAAUUAAGUUGAGUCUUCCGCUGAGUUAAGUAAGUCAGACCAAGAGUUCCCUUGAGGCCAGCAAUGGUCACCAAGUGCUAGUCCCACCCAGGGUAUAAGCUCGGAGCAUGCUAAUAUAUGCAUUUCAUAUACGACUUACGUAUUCAGAUACUUUUAACAUUUUGUUAGAGCAGAAGAGUCUUAACUUAUAUAUGUAGGUGAAGUAUUGAUAUAUUGGGAUAUUGGUACUUAUUAUUAUUUUACUUUAAUACUUAUUUAUAAGUCUACAACACACGGUAAGCACACACAAGGUGCUCAACAUGUGUGCUUGAAGUAAAUUUAAUUUUGAAUGAGGUUAAUUUGGUCAUUUUAUAUAAUACUCAAUGUUUCUUUUACUUGUACAAAAUGCAAAAUUGCUUUUAUGGACAUCAAAUGACCAAAAACCCAGUAUCCUUUAACUCAUUGUCAUAUGUUAUAGAACAUUGCAAUUGGUUGAAAAUGAACUUUAAUGUAGUUGCAAUAUAAUUAUUUUUACUUCUUGUCAAAACUGCCCCUAUGCGGCUUAAGCUUAUUUUAUCAACUAUUUGUUAUUACGUGGAGAAAUUAAAGACAUCUUUAGAUGAGUCCUUUUAAGCGGUACCGACCUAGAUAUAUAUAUUCUUUUCGUUUUAUUUAUGUCAUUUUUACUAAAAAUAGGUAAUAUUUAAUAUUUAUCAUUUCACAAAAGUAAUGCAUUAUAUAGUAAUGAAAUCGACUCUCUGAACUCUGUGACGGACCGUCACAGGUACGACGAACCGUCGUGAGCCCCCGUUUCAAAACACUUCAACUCUUGAGAAUUUGGUACAGGGAACGAUUCUCUGAACGUCAUGACGGAGGUGCAGGACGGACCGUCGUAGGUACGAUGGGCUGUCACAGACUCCUUAAGGAAAUCGAGUCUUUGACGAACCUGCAUGACGGACCGUCGCAGGCACGACGGGCCGUCGCAGGUUGCGCAAUCCCAGUCUGGGUCAGAUUUCUUUACACAUUUUAAGGGACGUUUUUGACUAUUCCUUCUUUAAUUAUAAAGUUAGUGGGUUAAUGUUAAUAAGUCUAAUUACUUGGGGGUUAAAAGAGGUAACCUCAAGUUAAUUAGUGGGUUAUUAUUGCCAUCUUUCAUUCUUAAUUAUAUACUAAUUAGGGUAAAAGAAAGAGGGUUUGAAUAAAGAAAAUAGAAAGAACACAAAGAGAGAGAGGGAGAAUCGAACGAGAAGGUGAAAAGAAGAGGAGAAACACAAAGCUUUGGGAAAUUGCUUGCUUGAUUUCUUGUCUUCGGUGGAGGUAGGUUUUGGUUUUCAUGCUAUUCGUAGUAAACUCUUAAUAGCGAAUGAUAUGUGUUAGUAGUAUUGUAAACCCUUCUAUAUGCUUAAUUGUAUGCUUGCAUGAAUGAUGUGAUUAUGGAAUUAUGAAUAAAUAAGCAUGAUGAAGUUAUUGAAUCCCAAAUCUUGAAAAGAAACCUUAAUCUACUUUGUUAAUGAUGAUGCCUUGGUAUAAAAGAAGGCUUGAUGAACGAAAGGGGUGAGAUUAGGGGAUCGAGUGCCACAUUCUGGUACCAGUAUAGAGAUAGAGGAUCGGGUGCCACGUUCCGGUACCAGGAUAGAAUGAGGAUCGAAGUGUCACGUUCCGACACCAGGAUAGUAUAUGGAUCGGGUGCCACGUUCCGGUACCAGGAUAGAAUGAGGAUCGGAGUGUCACGUUCCGACACCAGGAUAGUAUAUGGAUCGGGUGCCACGUUCCGGUACCAGGAUAGAAUGAGGAUCGGAGUGUCACGUUCCGACACCAGGAUAGUAUAUGGAUCGGAGUGUCACGUACCGACACGAGGGGAAUAAAUAUAAUGAAUCUUGUAAGAUGCUAAUAUACUCAAUUUAAUGAAACUAAUUCCCAAAUGAGUAUGAUAUUGAGGCUUGAGUCCUCACGUGUGAACUUGACGGUAUUUGUUAAUGAUAUAGUACUUGUUGUUGCUACAUGUUGAGUAUCAUAGUUGAUUUUAUGAUAUUGCUUAAUAUAUAUUGUUUUCUAAUUUCGAGUUGACCGAUGAUAUCUACUCAGUACCCGUGUUUUGUACUGACCCCUACUUUUGUGUUUUCUUCUUUGUUAUUUGUGGAGUGCAGCAAACAUGCCGUCGUCUUCGACUCAACAGUAUUCAAGCCAGUCUUUACUACACCGGAAAUUCAGGGUGAGCUAAUGCUUCUAGCUUGGACUGGAUCUUCUUCUUCAAGUCUUGAUGCCUUGAACUUCCGGCAUGGACUAGCUUCUUAUGUAUUUUUAGCUUCUUAGACAUUUUUAGUUAGUAAUUUGAUCAUAGAUGUUCUUGUGAUGAUGACUUCCAGAUUUUGGGGAAUAAUAGUUAUUGAAUUGGUUUUUAUUUAAUGAGCUUAAGUCUUCCGCAUUAUUUUCUAUUGAUAUACGUUGAAAUGAUAAGGUUUAGAUUGGUUGGUUCGCUCACAUAGGAGGGUAAAUGUGGGUGCCAGUCGCGGCUCGGUUUUGGGUCGUGACAAACCUUGUAUCAGAGCAUUAGGUUCGUUGGUCUCAUCACACAAGAACGAGUCUAGUAGAGUCUUAAGGAACGGUAGGGGGGCGCCUUUACUUUUCUUUGAGGGGCUAUAAGACUUUAGGAAAUUCCAUUCUUUCUUAUCUCUUUCGUGAUACUACUUGAAUCCAAUUGGUAUCUAGGUGAUUCAAAUUGGUAUCUGACCAUCUUCACUCUAUUUCGCAGAUGGUUAGAACUAGAUCAACGACUGCGCCAACACCAACACCGGCAAGACAAGAAACGUCUGAGCCAGCCACUGGGGCUGUGGCUCAAGGAAGAGCAAUAGCAAGAGGUCGUGGUAGAGUUCGUGGGAGGACGUCCUCUAGAGGGAGAGGACGAGUACCUAGCCCAUCUGAUGCUAGGGCGGUGACUCCUCCACCGACUGAGGAAGUAGUAAGAGAGGGUGAGGAAGGGGAGAAUGAACAAGUGCAAAAUGAUGAAUUGCCACCCCAACCUACCCCAGAGAUGAUCAAUCAGGUUCUCGCUUAUCUUAGUGGGUUAUCUGAUUAGGGCCAGACACCUCCAGUGUUUUCUGCACCAGUACCUCAGGUUCCGGAGGUACAACAUGCGGCUACUAUGGCUCCUCGUAUGGAUGCCUCAUUGGACAUAGGCACGUUUCCACGUCUGACUACUGGGCCUAUAAUGACAAAUGAUCAGCAUGAACUUUUCAGUAAGUUCUUGAAAUUGAAACCCCCAGUCUUCAAGGGUGCUGAAUCUGAGAAUGCUUACGAUUUUCUGGUUGACUGUCAUGAGCUACUACACAAGAUGGGUAUAGUAGAACGGUUUGGUGUUGAGUUCGUGAGUUAUCAGUUUCAAGGGAACGCCAAAAUGUGGUGGCGGUCACAUGUUGAGUGUCAACCAACAGAGGCACCACCUAUGACUUGGGCCUCAUUCUCUAGCUUGUUUAUGGAGAAGUGUGUCAACCAACAGAGGCACCACCUAUGACUUGGGCCUCAUUCUCUAGCUUGUUUAUGGAGAAGUAUAUCCCCCAGACUUUGAGGGAUAGGAAAAGGGAUGAGUUCUUGAGCCUAGAUCAAGGUAGGAUGUCGGUUAAUGCAUAUGAGGCUAGGUUUCGCGCACUAUCCAGGUAUGCCACUCAACUUUGUUUCAGUCUACAAGAGCGGAUUCGCCGGUUUGUGAAGGGGUUGAGGUCAGAGUUGCGGAUUUCGGCCUUACAGGUAGCGGCUACGGCAAAAUCCUUCCUAGAAGUGGUAGACUUCGUGAUAGAGGUGGAAGGAGUGAAGCCCAAUGACUUCACCUCGACAUCGACAUCAAAAAGGUUUCGAAAGGGAGGUGAGUUUAAUGGUUCUUACCCUAGGGGAUAGGGUUUCGGAGGUUACUCAGUCCGACCGAUUCAGUCUUCACUACAGACUGUAGUUGGGGGUCCACCUCAGACCGGUCAAAACUUCCUUGAGAGACCUAUGCAUGAACCAAGAAAGUGCUAUGGAUGUGGGGAGAUUGGAAAUAUUAAGAGAUAUUGUCCAAAACAGAGUUACCGACCCCCAAUAGCUAGAGGUAGAGGUGGUUAUGGAAGAAGUCGUCAUUCUGGAGGACGCGGUGGUCGAGGUAAUGGUGGUCACCAAAACGGCCGGGGUGAUGGGCAAACUGGAGCCACUACAUCACAACAUGGUAGGGGCAAUAGACAGACAAGUAAUGGGGCUCAUUGCUACGCUUUUCCUGGGAGAUCUGAAACGGAGACAUCAGAUGCUGUCAUCACAGGUAAUCUUUUAAUUUGUGAUUGCAUGGCUUCUAUAUUGUUUGAUCCUGGAUCCACAUUUUCUUAUGUAUCUUCCUCAUUUGCUAAUGGUCUAAAUUUACGUUGUGAAUUACUUGACAUGCCUAUUCAUGUUUCUACUCCGGUGGGUGAGUCUGUGGUAGUUGAAAAGGUAUAUAGGUCUUGUUUGGUGAACUUUGUGGGGAGCAACAGUUAUGUAGAUUUGGUUAUCUUAGAAAUGGUUGAUUUUGAUGUAAUUCUGGGUAUGACUUGGCUUUCUCCGCAAUUUGCGAUCUUGAUUGUAAUGCUAAAACGGUGACGUUAGCCAAGCCUGGGACAGAUCCGUUAGUGUGGGAGGGUGACUACACUUCCAAUCCGGUGUGUAUCAUCUCCUUUCUUCGUGCUAAGAAAAUAGUUAGUAAAGGGUGUUUGGCUUUCUUGGCACAUCUCAAGGAUGACACUACCCAAGUACCCUCGAUUGAGUCAGUUUCGGUAGUCCGUGAGUUUUUGGAUGUGUUCCCUGCAGAUCUUCCUGGUAUGCCACCGGAUAGGGAUAUUGACUUCUGUAUUGAUCUUGAACCGGGUACUCGCCCCAUUUCUAUACCCCCUUAUAGAAUGGCUCCCGCCGAAUUGAGAGAGUUAAAGGCCCAACUUCAAGAGUUGUUGAGCAAAGGUUUCAUUAGACCAAGUGCAUCUCCUUGGGGUGCUCCGGUUUUGUUUGUAAAGACGAAGGAUGGGAGUUUUCGGAUAUGCAUAGACUACCGGCAGUUGAACAAGGUAACCAUAAAGAACAAGUAUCCUCUUCCUCGCAUUGAUGACUUGUUCGAUCAGUUACAAGGUGCUCGUGUCUUCUCUAAGAUUGACUUGAGAUCCGGUUAUCAUCAAUUGAAAAUACGGGCAACGGAUGUGCCAAAGACUGCUUUUAGAAUCAGGUAUGGGCAUUACUAAUUUGUAGUGAUGUCUUUUGGUCUUACGAAUGCCCCUACUGCGUUCAUGAGUUUGAUGAACGGGAUUUUUAAGCAAUAUUUGGAUCUCUUUGUGAUCGUAUUUAUUGAUGAUAUACUGAUAUACUCAAAGAGCAAGAAGGAACAUGAAGAGCAUUUGAGAAUGGUAUUGGAAAUGUUGAGGGAGAAAAAUCUUUAUGCCAAGUUCUCUAAGUGUGAGUUUUGGCUAGAUGCAGUGUCCUUCUUGGGGCAUUUAGUUUCUAAGGAGGGAGUGAUAGUGGAUCCUUCCAAGAUUGAGACAGUGAAGAAUUGGGUAAGACCUACUAAUGUGUCAGAAAUAAGGAGCUUUGUUGGGUUAGCUAGCUACUACCACCGAUUCGUCAAGGGAUUCUCUUCUAUUGCUUCCCAACUGACGAACUGCAAAAUGUUCCAUUUGUAUGGUCGGAUGAGUGUGAGGAAAGCUUUCAGAAGCUCAAGACUCUGUUGACUACUGCACUAAUUCUCACCUUGCCAGUGGAAGGUAGGAAUUUUAUUGUCUAUUGUGAUGCAUCCUAUUCGGGUUUGGGUGCAGUGCUAAUGCAAGAGAAGAAUGUGAUUGCUUAUGCUUCGAGGCAAUUAAAAGUGCAUGAACAUAACUAUCCAACUCAUGAUUUGGAAUUGGCUGCGGUAGUGUUUGCAUUAAAGCAAUGGAGACACUAUUUAUAUGGGGUUAAGUGUGAGGUCUACACGGAUCAUCGUAGCCUUCAGUAUGUCUUUACUCAGAAAGAUUUGAACUUGAGACAGAGGAGAUGGAUGGAGCUACUAAAGGACUAUGAUAUCACUAUCUUGUAUCAUCCGGGGAAGGCGAAUGUUGUAGCGGAUGCUUUAAGUAGAAAGGCGGGAAGCAUGGGAAGUCUAGCCCACUUGCAAGCUUCUAGACGCCCAUUGGCUAGAGAAGUUCAGAUUCUGGCUAACGACCUUAUGAGAUUAGAAGUAAAUGAGAAGGGAGGAUUUUUUGCUUGUGUGGAGGCAAGAUCUUCCUUCCUUGACAAGAUUAAGGGAAAACAGUUUGAUGAUGAGAAACUAAGCAGAAUCCAAGAUAAGGUGUUGCGAGGAGAGGCUAAGGAAGCACAAAUCGAUGAGGAAGGUGUUUUGAGUAUUAAGGGAAGGGUAUGUGUACCCCGCGUCGAUGAUUUGAUCAACACUAUUCUGACAGAGGCUCAUAGUUCAAGGUAUUCGAUACAUCCGGGUGCAACAAAGAUGUACUGUGACCUAAAGCAACACUUUUGGUGGAGUAGAAUGAAGCGUGAUAUUGUGGAUUUUAUUGUCAAAUGUCCAAACUGUCAACAAGUAAAGUAUGAACACCAAAGGCCCGGAGGAACACUUCAGAGAAUGUCCAUUCCUGAAUGGAAGUGGGAAAGGAUUGCAAUGGAUUUCGUGGUUGGUCUUCCAAGGACAUUGGGAAAGUUUGAUUCUAUUUGGGUAAUUGUUGAUAGGUUAACUAAGUAUGCUCAUUUCAUUCCAGUUAAGGUGACUUACAAUGCCGAGAGGUUAGCCAAGAUCUAUAUCUCAGAAAUCGUUCGAUUGCAUGGGGUUCCACUAUCCAUCAUAUCAGAUAGAGGUACGCAAUUUACUUCUAAGUUUUGGAAAACAUUGCAUGCGGAAUUGGGUACUAGGUUGGACCUUAGUACUGCGUUCCAUCCUCAGACCGAUGGUCAGUCUGAGCGAACGAUUCAAGUGUUGGAGGAUAUGCUUCGUGCAUGUGUGAUAGAAUUUGGUGGUCAGUGGGAUAGCUUCUUACCCUUAGCAGAGGUCUCCUACAACAAUAGCUAUCACUCAAGUAUUGAUAUGGCUCCAUUUGAAGCAUUGUAUGGUAGGAGGUGUAGGUCCCCCAUUGGUUGGUUUGAUGCAUUUGAAGUUAGACCUUGGGGUACUGACCUUUUGAGGGAUUCAUUAGAGAAAAUGAAAUCUAUUCAAGAAAAGCUUCUAGCGGCGCAAAGUGGUGAUGCGGUUUGGUAAGCAAGGUAAACUUAGCCCAAGGUAUAUUGGCCCAUUUGAAGUACUCAAGCGAAUAGGGGAGGUGGCUUAUGAGUUAGCCUUGCCUCCAAGGCUGUCCGGAGUACAUCCGGUAUUCCAUGUGUCGAUGUUGAAAAGAUACCCUGGGGAUGGAAACUACAUUAUCCGUUGGGAUUCAGUUUUGCUUGAUGAAAAUUUGACUUAUGAGGAGGAGCCUGUUGCCAUUUUAGAUAGAGAAAUUCGCAAGUGGAGAUCAAGGGAGAUUGUAUCCAUCAAAGUUCAAUAGAAGAAUCGACCAGUCGAAGAAGCCACUUGGGAGAAAGAGGCUGAUAUGCGAGAAAGAUACCCACACCUUUUACAGAUUCAGGUACUCCUUUUCGCCCUUGUUUUCCUUCUUGUGAUCGUUCGGGGACGAACGAUGGGUAAAUUGGUAUCUAUUGUAACGACCUGUUUAGUCAUUUUGAGCAGCAGACUUCAAUUCUGGAAAAACUGGCAAAAACGACUGACCCCACGACGGACCGUCAUGGGCACGACGGACCGUCGAGGGGGUCUCGUUCCAUAACACUUAGAAAAUAGAAAAUUGGGUACUGAAAUCGACUCUCUGAACUCUGUGACGGACCUGUAGGACGAACCGUCACAGGUACGACGAACCGUCGUGAGCCCCCGUUUCAAAACACUUCAACUCUUGAGAAUUUGGUACAGGGAACGAUUCUCUGAACGUCGUGACGGAGGUGCAGGACGGACCGUCGUAGGUACGAUGGGCCGUCACAGACUCUUUAAGGAAAUCGAGUAUCUGACGAACCUGCAUGACGGACCGUCGCAGGCACGACGGGCCAUCGCAGGUUGCGCAAUCCCAGUCUGGGUCGGAUUUCUUUACACGUUUUAAGGGACGUUUUUGACUAUUCCUGCUUUAAUUAUAAAGUUAGUGGGUUAAUGUUAAUAAGUCUAAUUACUUGGGGGUUAAAAGAGGUAACCUCAAGUUAAUUAAUGGGUUAUUAUUGCCAUCUUUCAUUCUUAAUUAUAUACUAAUUAGGGUAAAAGAAAGAGGGUUUGAAUAAAGAAAAUAGAAAGAACACAAAGAGAGAGAGGGAGAAUCGAACGAGAAGGUGAAAAGAAGAGGAGAAACACAAAGCUUUGGGAAAUUGCUUGCUUGAUUUCUAGUCUUCGGUGGAGGUAGCUUAUGGUUUCAUGCUAUUCGUAGUAAACUCUUAAUAGCGAAUGAUAUGUGUUAGUAGUAUUGUAAACCCUUCUAUAUGCUUAAUUGUAUGCUUGCAUGAAUGAUGUGAUUAUGUAAUUAUGAAUAAAUAAGCAUGAUGAAGUUAUUGAAUCCCAAAUCUUGAAAAGAAACCCUAAUCUACUUUGUUAAUGAUGAUGCCUUGGUAUAAAAGAAGGCUUGAUGAACGAAAGGGGUGAGAUUAGGGGAUCGGGUGCCACGUUUCGGUACCAGGAUAGAGAUAGAGGAUCGGGUGCCACGUUCCGGUACCAGGAUAGAAUGAGUAUCGGAGUGUCACGUUCCGACACCAGGAUAGUAUAUGGAUCGGGUGCCACGUUCCGGUACCAGGAUAGAAUGAGGAUCGGAGUGUCACGUUCCGACACCGGGAUAGUAUAUGGAUCGGGUGCCACGUUCCGGUACCAGGAUAGAAUGAGGAUCGGAGUGUCACGUUCCGACACCAGGAUAGUAUAUGGAUCGGAGUGUCACGUACCGACACGAGGGGAAUAAAUAUAAUGAAUCUUGUAAGAUGCUAAUAUACUCAAUUUAAUGAAACUAAUUCCCAAAUGAGUAUGGUAUUGAGGCUUGAGUCCUCACGUGUGAACUUGACGGUAUUUGUUAAUGAUAUAGUACUUGUUGUUGUUACAUGUUGAGUAUCAUAGUUGAUUUUAUGAUAUUGCUUAAUAUAUAUUGUUUUCUAUUUCGAGUUGGCCGAUGAUAUCUACUCAGUACCCGUGUUUUGUACUGACCCCUACUUUUAUGUUUUCUUCUUUGUUAUUUGUGGAGUGCAGCAAACGUGCCGUCGUCUUCGACUCAACAGUAAUUCAAGCCAGUCUUUACUACACCGGAAAUUCAGGGUGAGCUAAUGCUUCUAGCUUGGACUGGAUCUUCUUCUUCAAGUCUUGAUGCCUUGAACUUCCGGCAUGGACUAGCUUCUUAUGUAUUUUUAGCUUCUUAGACAUUUUUAGUUAGUAAUUUGAUCAUAGAUGUUCUUGUGAUGAUGACUUCCAGAUUUUGGGGAAUAAUAGUUAUUGAAUUGGUUUUUAUUUAAUGAGCUUAAGUCUUCCGCAUUAUUUUCUGUUGAUAUACGUUGAAAUGAUAAGGUUUAGAUUGGUUGAUUCACUUACAUAGGAGAGUAAAUGUGGGUGCCAGUCGCGGCUCGGUUUUGGGUCGUGACAGCAUAGAAAGCUAAGUAACUAAUUCAUACUUAUUGGUCAAAUUAAAUAGUCAAAAUAAAUAAAUUCAUGUUUAUUGAUUGAAAACUUGACUUCAAAAAAACAGUAAGAAUAGAAUAAAAUUUGCUUAAUUUCGUAAUACACAUAAAAUCUAAAAUAGUGACAUAUAAAUAUGAUCGGAGAGAGUAUAAGUUAAUUCUCUAUUUGUAUCAUACAAAUAGAGAAUCAAGAUUUUAUUAAUGAUUUUUCUUUUAUUUUUUGAUGUAAAGCGCAGUCAAGGCAGCGAUUUCACUUUAAUUUUUUUUAAUUUUCUUACAUAAAUCGCUGGCAAUUUCUCCAAUCUUUUUGUAAAUUUUUUUUAAUUGUGUCGUAAAGCGCUGCAAUUGCAGCGAUAUUUUUUUGCUAAAAAAAUCAAUAUUGUAAAUCGUCUAUGCAUGACUUUAUUGAUUUUUCUUUUUUUUUUGAACAAAUUUUUAGUGGAUUUUUUUAUAAAAUUGAAACUUCUUUUUUAACGUAAGAAAAUUAAAAAAAAUUAAACUGUAAUCGCUGCCUUGGCAGGGAUUUGUUGUAAAAAAAAUUUAUUUUAAAAAAGUGAAUUGUACAAAUUGGUGCUAUAGCAGCGAUUUUCCUUAGCGUCGGCAAACAAAAUCACUACAUCCUAAGCGAUUUUAUCGUUUUGGUUAUAAAAAAAUUCAUAUACCUGUAACGACCUGUUUAGUCGUUUUGAGCAGCAGAUUUUAUUCUGGAAAAACAGGCUGAGGCGACGGACCCAACGACGGACCAUCAUGGGCACGACGGACCGUCGCAGGGUCUCGUUUGAAAACACUUAGAAAAACUGAAAAUUGGAUACUGAAAAUCGACUCUUUGAACUUCGUAACGAAAUGGCAGGACGGACCGUCACAGGUAUGACGGACCGUCACAGACCAUUGGUGGAAAUUUGGGUCUCUGAACUUUGCGACGACCUGCAGGACGGACCGUCGCAGGCACGACGGCCCGUCACAGGUUGCGCAAUCCCAGUCCGGGUCGGAUUUCUUGAUACGUUUUAAGGGACGUUUUUGACUAUUCUUGCCUUAAUUAUAAAGUUAGUGGGUUAAUGUUAAUAAGUCUAAUUACUUGGGGGUUAAAAGAGGUAACCUUAAGUUAAUUAGUGGGGCAUUAUUGCCAUCUUUUAUUCUUAAUUAUAUGUUAAUUAGGGUAAAAGGAAGAGGGUUUUGAAUAAAGAAAAUAGAAAGAACAAGAGAAAGAGAGACAGAGAGUCGAACGAGAAAGAAGAGAAACAAAGCUUGGAGAAAAAUUUGCUUGCUUGAUCACUAAUCUUCGGUGGAGGUAGGUUAUGGUUUCUCUUACGAUAUUCGUAGUAAACUCUUAAUAGAGAAUGAUAUGUAUUGAUAAUAUUGUAAACCCUGCUAUGUGCUUAAUUGUAUGCUUGCAUGAAUGUAAUUAUAUAAUUGUGAUUAUAUAAGCAUGAUGAAGUUAUUGAAUCCCAAAUCUUGCAAAAUCCUAAUCUCUUUGUUAAUAAUGAGGCCUUGGUAUAAAAGAAGGCGUGAUGAACUAAAAUAAUGGGAUUGAUGAUGCCUUGGUAAGAAAGAAGGCUUGAUGAAUUGAUGGAAGGAGAUUAGGGGAUCGGGUGUCACGAACCGACACGUAGAAUUAGGGGAUCGGGUGUCACGAACCGACACGUAGUAUUAGGGGAUCGGAUGUCACGAACCGACACGUAGUAUUAUGAGAUCGGGUGUCACGAACCGACACGUAGUAUUAGGGGAUCGGGUGUCACGAACCGACACGUAGUAUUAGGGGAUCGGGUGUCACGAACCGACACGUAGAUUUAGGGGAUCGGGUGUCACGAACUGACACAUAGAUUUAGGGGAUCGGGUGUCACGAACCGACACAUAGAUUUAGGGGAUCGGAGUGUCACGUACCGACACAAGAGGAUUAAUGAAUAUUGAGGGAGCGGAGUGUCACGUACCGACACAAGAGAAAUAAAGAUAAUGAAUCUUGAAAGAUAUUAAUAUACUCAAUCUAAUGAACAUGAUUCCCAAAUGAGUAUGGUAUUGAGGCUUGAGUCCUCAUGUGUGAACUUGACGGUAAUUGUUAAUGAUAUAGUAUUUGUUGUUGCUACAUGUUGAGUAUCAUAGUUGAUUUUAUGAUAUUACUUGGUAUAUAUUGAUUUCUAUUUUGAGUUGGCCGAUGAUAUCUACUCAGUACCCGUGUUUUGUACUGACCCCUACUUUUAUAUUUUCUUCUUGUUUAUUUGUGGAGUGCAGCAAACGUGCCAUCGUCUUCAACUCAACAGUAAUUCAAGCCAGUCUUACUACAUCGGAAAUUCAGGGUGAGCUAAUGCUUCUAGCUUGGACUGGAUCUUCUUCUUCAAGUCUUGAUGCCUUGAACUUCCGGCAUGGACUAGCUUCUUAUGUAUUUUUAGCUUUUAGAACACUCUUAGUUUAGUCAUUUGAUCGUAGAUGUUCUUGUGAUGAUGACUUCCAGAUUUUGGGGAAUAAUAGAUGUUGAAUUUUAGAAGUUAAUGAAUUGGUCUUUAUUUAAUGAGUUUAAGUCUUCCGCAUUACUUUCUGUUGAUAUUAUAUUGAAAUGUUAAGGUCAGAUUGGUUGGUUCACUCACAUAGAAGGGUAAGUGUGGGUGCCAGUCGCAACCCGGUUUGGGUCGUGACAAUACCUUUUUGAAAUUUUUGUUAAUAUUUUUCACCCUUUAGCCUCUGUACUUGCAUGAAUUACAAUAUUCUUCCUAUUUUACUCUUGUGAAUAAUUAGCUUUGAAAGUAUAUGUUUGAUCAACCUAGAAAAACUAAGUGAAUAGUUUAUGUUCAUUAAUUCAAUUAAUUAAUAAAAAUAAAUUAAUUAAUAUUUUCUUGACAAAUUCCUAUUUGAUUUUUUAAUUUAAUUCAAAAUUUUCAAGUUCCAUGUUUCACUCUUUUCUUGACGAGUUUUGUAAUAAACUAUGUACAAGAAAAGCUGUAGCUAUAAAGAAAUCAACGUAGUACAAAAUUGAAAAUUGUAUUUCAUUAAGUAAAAAAAUAGAAGGGCUUAACAACAAAACAAACUAAUUAAAUUUUAACUUAAACCCCCUGAAAUAAUAAUAAUAAUAAUAAUAAUAAUAAUAAAACAAUACUACAACAAGAAUCAUCAACCACAUACAUAAUAAGAGAGAAUAGACAAACAAAAAUUUGGAUACAACGAUGAAAUAACUAUAGAUAAUACAAAUUUGGAUAUUCAUUAAACUAUAUAUAGUGAAUAUCCUGAUACUAUAUUGCCUAAUUCUCGUUUCUAGGUACAUCAUCCAUGACAAACACGCCUAUUGAAACCCUUCAUGGAGGCGUAUAUCGGUGCCCAAUCCUUUUAUAACGAGGCGUAUAUAAGUGCUAAACUGUAAUGUUAAGAAAUACUUUUUAAUUAGUUUUCUAAAUAUAAUUUAUUCCUUUAUUUCUUUUUGUGUUAAUACUAGAACUAGAAUAGAUCAAUUGAUGUUCAUAACAAAUUCCAACACCUCACUCAUAAUGAAAUUGAUCAUAAUUUAAAGUACUAAAUCAUGCUAAAUAAGUUAAGUAAGUAUUAGUUACAUGCCUAAAUAUUAAAAGAAAAUAAAAUUAGAUCAUGUAUUUUAAUUGUUUAAAUCUAUGUAAAACUAAAAAAUAAAUAUUCAAUAUUAUUGUCAUUCUUAGUGUUGAAUUGAUUCGUUUUUUGCAUUAUUAUUAAUUUGAUUUUUAUUUAAACUUUAUUAUAAUUACCAACAUGUAUGGUCUAUAAUCUUUAUUUGAUAAUUAAGAAUUCUAACUUCCAAACAUAAAAUAAAUAUAGUAAAAGAUAAAAACUGUGAAAAAAGUAUAAGAGAUAUUUAUUAAUUAUAUCAAAGUAAGUAUUUUUACGUAUAAAAUAAAAACUUUAAUUUAUAUGUAUAAUGUCGGGUUGGUUUGGUCUCGGGUUGAUUUAUUAUAGUUGAAACCAACCCAACCCAAAUAUAGUCGGGGUUUUUUUUUCCAACACAAAAUUGAGUCAAACCAAACCACUAGUCAGGUUUUUUUUCGAUUUGACUAGGUCUGCGGGUUUAGUUCAAUUUUCGAUUUGAUUUUAUACACUCGAUUUUGAUUUUUGUGAUCUGUAGUAAGAGAUAUAGAGCAAGUCUUUUUUCCAUUAAACUUAUUUAUUUUAUUUUAUUUUUGUAGGAAAGAAGGGGGACCUUGUAUAAUUUUUUUGAUUUAGAUUUGAUGUAUCUUUGUUAAAAAAGUGGGUUACAUACACUCCUAUUAUCAUAUAAACGUGAAUUACUUUAUAAUGAGCGAUAUAUAAAUUUUAAUAAAUUAUAAAAUUGAGGAGGAGUAUAUCAAGACUUUUUACGGACUUGCGUAUUUAGAUAUUUUAGAGAUUCUGUUAAUUAAAGUAGAAGAGUAGGUGAAUAUUGGUAUGUUGAAAACAUGUGCUAUUUAUACUCAUGAAUAGAAUAAUUAAGUAGUAUAUAAUUGUUUAGUUAAACGUGUUGGGAGCCGUGCAUGCAUAUAUAUAUAUAUAUAUGCAUUUCAUGACAUAUAUAAUAAUAUAAUAAUAAUAUUAUCCAAUCUCACCAUUUAUUUAAUAUAAUAUUACAUGAUAAUUAAGAGGGCACUUCAUUUAUUUAGGUGUGUGUGAGUGAGUGAUGAUGGAGUAGUCCUAGGUAAUAGUGACGGUUGCUAGAGAUGUAAGUAUCCCAAAAAUUGCUGCCAAAGUUUGACCAACCACAUUCUCAAGUAAGUUUCCAAUAAGGAUAACGGGAGCUACAAGGGUUCCUGUGGUUGGAGUCAAAGUGCAAUUAGCAAUUGGGAGAGGAAUCCUUGCAAUACAUGUUCCUGACAAAAGACUUGUAUUGGUGGACACUGCAGCAUUAAUAAUGCCUUGACUAUUUGUGGACACUUGAGCAAUCGUUGUGUUGCCACAAAUAAUCGUUACAUUUGCUCCACUCACUCCGACGCCUGGGGCAUUACUUCCCGGUACGGAGCAAGACAAACUCCCCAAUAUACUUAAAUUAACAACACGAUCAACAACAGGUGGUACAAUCGGUGGUACUUGACCACCAACAGGUGGUACAAUCGGUGGUACUUGACCAACAACAGGUGGUACAAUCGGUUGGCCAAGAAUAGGACUAAGAAUGGGACCAACAAUUGGACCGAGAAUAGAACCAACAAUCGGUAAUUGGCCAAGACCAACAGGUGGUACUUGACCAACGGGUGGUACAAUACGUGGUGCAGGUUGCCCCAAAAUGGGACCCACAAAGGGAAUGGGACCCAAAAUGGGACGAACAAUGAGACCCAAACCUUGAGCAUGGGCUAGAGGACUGAUGGUGAUGAUGGAAAGUAGAACAACAAGGGAAAC
rnacentral:lncRNA from 1 species